AGAGAUUAUUUGAUGGGUGUAUUAUAUAUACUAAAUUGUAAUCGAAUCAUCUGUGGUCAUGAGAUCCACGAGGGUUGACGUGAGACGUACCAAAUCUUGCCGUUUCGAUGCAGUUUGAUAUUUGUGACACUCACCCAAUGCCCGCCCCUCCUAGAUAAGAAGGCAAUACAAAAAAAUCUCAGGCUAAAUGACCGACGAAAUUAAGGCGACAAAGAAAAAUGGAUCACAAUUCCUUCUCACUUUUAUGUCCUUUACUCACUUGAUGCCUAGCUUUGCGUUGAAAGAACAUAAUGAUAAGACACCACUUAUCUUAUAAGACACGCCCCACCCCGCCCCCCCACCCCCAAGCUUCAGCUAUGUGUUCAAGGAUUGCUCUAAGGCUGAGUUUAGUUCAAUGGAAAUGAUAAUGGUGUGGAUACAUCUCUUAUGUUUGAUUUUCCCAUUUGAAGGACAUGAAAGGGGUGUAAACGGUUCGGUUCGGUUCGGUUAUUUUGAAAAACCGAACUGAACCGAACCGUUAGAGAAAAUUUCCAAACCGAACCGAAUAAGUCCCGAAACGAUAACGUUCGGUUCGGUUCGGUUCGAUUUUUCGGUUUUCAACUUUUGGUUUUUUUGAGUUCAACUUAGAUGGAAACCGAUAAAAACCAAGAGACACGAAAGGACUAGAGAUGGGAGUCGGGAGAGAACCGAAUUAGAUUUGAUUUUAUCGGUUUUCGGUUCGGUUAACUGAUAAAAACCGAACCGAUAAAUUUUUUUUGGUUUUUGAUGAAAACCAAACCGAAAACCGAACCGAACCGAAAAAAUCAAAUUUUUCGGUUCAGUUCGGUUCGGUUUGCGGUUCAAUUUUCGGUUCGGGUCUUGAUGCCCCUAAUGAAUAUGUUCUUUUAUAACAGUUUGUGCUUAAUUAAUUAAAUGAAUUUAAGAAGAAACUGCAGAUUUUCCUUUUCUUAAAACCGAACAAGACGUCCCUUCGACUGAGCAUUCCCAAAAAAUAUUCCCUUUUUUAGUGACAUUUCCAAAAUUGCCCUAGCAUUGAACUCCAUUUGAACACGAGUCAUCCGUUACCAUCCCAAUCACGCAAAAAGCAUAUUUUUUUUAAUGCAUUUUUGAAGGAAAACAAUGUACCUUUUUUUCAACCUUGUUAAUAUUAACAUACUAUUCAAUUGAAAAAAAAAAUUUGAAAUACUAUAUUUGAAUCUUCGAAACUCGAAAAGGUCAACAAACUUGAGCACAAGAUUUAGGAGAAGCGAAAGGUAAAAAUUAAAGAGUAAAAGUCAUUCCAUACAUAUAGGAACAUGUACGGUGAUUAAACAACAACAUACAAACCCCUACUAUACGUCAACAAAACCAAUUAUAAUGAGGACUGAGACUUUUGAAAAUCUUAUCUGUAGAAGUCUCCAAAAAGACAAUAUCCCUAGAUCCUAGCCCUGAUCAAUCUGAGAAAAAAGAGGUUAAUGAAGGAAUAAGCAAUCACUACCUCAGCAAAUGAACUCUCAAGACUUAGAAUAGGACAUCAAGUGCAUUCUUAAAUGAAACCUUGCGAUUUAACAUAAUAAGCCGUGAACACAAAUAUAAAUGUGACGUGAAAUUGUCUCACUCCAGAUCAAUCACCCAACCAACAUAGAAGCUCAACCAAUCACAUAUCAUAUUAUGAGACUAAAGUCCGUAAGUGUAUUUCAACCCAAUAACUAAGACAUCCCUGACAACAAGGCAUUGCUUUGAGAGAGUUUUUUUUUUAUUUUUUUAUUGAUUUAAAGUAAAAACUUCAUUCAAUUCUCAAGAUGAUGCAUGAGAGGUUCAAAACAAAGCAGAUACAAAAUAGCAAAGUAGAAUAAUAAAGUAAGCACACUUUCAUCCCACAGGAAUAUAUUUGUCUCAGCAUAAAAAAAAAAAUGAAUAGUGGCCAAUCACCAAUCUCACAUCAUCAUAAGUAAUAAGCACAUACUAUAAUCUUCUUCUUCAAUAGCUACAGCUUUCCGGAUAGUUGAUACAUGCUUAGGUUCAAUGUUCUCAAUGCCAUCACCAUAUAGAGACACCAAAAACAGGUUAAACAGGCUCCCAAAUCUAGAUCUAGAUCGGGAGAUGUUGAAGGAGCACAGCAAAGCCUUUAAGGAACUCCCAAAUAUAAAUAUAGAUCAAAAGAGAAGAGCUUUCAAAUCUAGAUCUAAAUUAUUUGAGAGAUGAGAACUUCCAAAACUCGACGGAGUCGUAUAACCACUUUCAAUGAGUAUGAACUCGGCAUAUUUCUCUUCAAUCCCAUUGUACUUCUUGGUUUGGACGAUCUAUUGCCUAACGAUGGAAGCUGAAGAUACGCCCAGCGAACAAAGAAUUGUAUCAACAGUGAGCAAAAGAAAAAACAAAAAAACUUAUUUACAAUAGGCUAUUUCUAAACUAAACUUAUUUGUUGAUGUGACUUCAAUCACUACUUGUUUAUGGUGUUGGUAAGAAAGUUGAAUAAAAGUUGGAAAUAAUAAGAGAAUUAUUUUUGUUAGCAAUUAGAGAAAUUGGUAACUUUUAUAAAAAAAAUAUAUAUGUGUGGGUAACUAACUCAAAUAAAGAGUUAAUAACACAAAGUUCGUCGGUAAUGCAAUCAUAGAAAGAAGGUUGGCAAGGCAAAUAAAGGAUGGUAAUUCAAUAGAAAAAAGAUGAAUGCUUUAGCAUGACAAAAACUUUUCCCGUUGGCCUACCAACGAUAGGGGCAUUUCUCUGCACAGAAAAAUUAUGUGCUAUAUAUCUAAAUUACCCGCAUAGAAAGCAUGAUCUACUGUCAGUUGAAGCAUCCGUUAAUAUAGAACAAUCAUGUGCUACAUGUCCAAUUUUCCUACAUAGAAAGUAUGCCCUCAUACAGACAAGUGUUCUAUUCCCACAGGUGUCAUAAGAGCCCUGAUUAUUUUGAUUUAUGGACUUUCUUGGCAAAAUUAUUAGUCCCGUUUGGUUCGGCAUUUGGAAGGAGCUUUUGGGCCCUAAAGGGAUUUGGCCAAAUACAAACGUGUUUGGUUCAAUUUUUAGGACAAUGUUGGCAAGAUGCAAUUGUAUCUCCAAAUGACUCUAAGAACCUUUUAGCUCAAAGCAGCUUUGGAGAUACUUUGGAAAGUUGCAUUCACGGAAUGCAAGUUCCACGAGUACUGUUCAUCUUCUUCAAAGAAACAAACGGAGGCCGACGAUCGCUAGCCAAUGAGUUGCCCAUGCCGAUGACCACUACUUGAGGCGUCGCCUAACCCCGGCAAUCACUACAUGAGGCGUUGCCUAACCCCAGGGAUUGCGGCCACCCAGUGACCGCCGUCUAAGGUUGUGUGAUCUUAGGUGAGGCGGCCUGAGGUCCGACACAUAGGGUUCGUGACCCAGGCGAUUGUCGCUUGGGUUCAUGCGACCUAGGCAACCGAACCCAUGCGAUAGUCGCUAGACCUCAAGCAACUCCUGGGGUUCGCGACCCAAGCGAUCAUCGCUUGAGUCACGCAUCCUAGACAGCCGCUUAGGUCACAACCCCAGGCGUCGCCUGAGGUCAUGUGACCUUAGGUGAGGUUGGCCGCUUGAGAUCACAUGACCUUAGGUGAGGCUAUUUGGCAACCAGAUCUGGCCGCUGGUGGCUAUAUUAAAAAAAAAUUAAAACUUUUUUUAAUGAAAAAUUUAGCAAGAGUCAUUUGCAAAAUGUAUUAAGCCAAAGUUGUUUCAUAAUGUACCUUAAAAUUGCAAUUUACCCAACGUUAUUUGUAUUCUAAAAAUCCCUUUAGCGCACAAGUAUUUGCAUUUUCCCAAUGACAUUUGCCUAAAGCUGAACCAAACGAGGCCAUCACCUCUUCGUUUAUUACCACUUUGAGCUUUGAGUAAGCUUUCCAUUGGCCUGUCGAAAUUGUUUUAUUUACGAAUAAACUUGGUUUAAUCAAAUCUUGCUUAGGUUUCUACUUGAUUUUAAUAUAUGUUUUUACUUAAUGAUAGGAUUUUCAUUUUUUCUACUCAACGCAAUUUUUCUUGUUUGGUUUUCCAAUGUCAGAUCUAGCAAGAGAGGCCUCGUUGGUGUUCACCUCACCUAGGUGCGACCUAACGAGGCCAACUCUCACCUGGGAGAGGCCAUCCCUCAUCAACCAUGGCCUGAGUCACCAGAAAUUGCAAAGAGAACAUGGAAAGAUAAAAAAAGAAGAAAAUUAUUAAAAAUUUAUUUAAAAAAAUCUACAUUAGCGUCAGUUGUGCUAUAUAAUACGAAUGAUGUCAAUGUCAGUAAUUUCCAACCUAAAUUUGUCAAAUGAACAUAAUUUGGACCAAUGUGAAAAAAUUAAGUAUUAAAUUAGCUCAAUUGAAAAGUUAAUGACUAAAUUGAUAGCAAUGACAUAGGUGAGGACUUUUUUUGGCACUUUUUUUCUUAAAUAGCAUAUUAUAAUACAACAACUAGAAUAACUAUCAACGGUUACAUACCAACAGCCAUGCCCAACAGCUGAGUUCGUGUUGUCUAGACUAGGCCUGAGCGGUCAUAGUCCGCUGUCCUCACCGAUAUACUCGGUGGAGAUUGAUAUCACCGGAAUUUUUCUUUACCAAGGUUGUCAAAUAUUUGGCUUGUUUAAAUGGACGAAUACCAUUAAAGACAACUUUUUAAAAAAAAAUUUCACCGAUGCCUAUGCCUAAUGAGUGACUUGUUGGCUUUGGUUCGUCUCUGUUAAUCGGUGGUGUCAUUUGCUGUGGUUUUUCCUAUGUUCUUUUGGUCUCUUGGGUUCGGCUUUUUUUUAUAGCUAGGAAUUGGAGUGAUUCAGGUUUUUUGACUCAUGAAUGAACUCGACAUCCUCAAAAUGUAUUUGCUGAUUGUCAAUUGUGAUGUGAACGGGUAUGUUCUGACUUGCUUUCCAUUGAUUUCUGCAUUUUUUUUUCGCCUUGGUUUCUUUUCUUUUCCUUGCUUUGCAAGUUUUAACCUCUGUUAGUUUCCUAAUAAAGCCCAAUUUCCCACUUGAAUUAUGAGGUUUUACCCUGCUUUUUCUUCAUUCCAAUUCGUGCAGUCCACAUUAUUUGAGUUUCAAUUAUCGUUCAUGUUAUGUCUUGGUCACAUUUUAAUGUCCUAAGAAUUUGUUUUGAGUGAGGAUUUGAACCUUGUUGACAUCCAAAUGUCUACAUUUUAAAUAUCCAUUUAUAUAUAUAUAUAUAUAAAGAUGAGUAAAAUAGGUGAUAUAAAAUGAAUAAAAAGUAUUAAAAAAAGAAAAAAAGAGUCGAGUGGGCCGGCGAAGUUAAGCCCAUUCUUUUUUAUGCUUUCGCAGCCCAUUCCUUUAUUUCUUCUUCAGCCCAUCCAUUUUUUGUUUAUUCUUUGAGCCCAUCUGAAACAAUUAAGAAAAGAGGCCCAGCCCCACAUGCUCUCUCUCUCUCUUUUCCCUUCGCACGACCGACAUGCGGGUGACAGAAGGAGACGAACUCAGCAAAGGAAGCGGCCAUGAGCGGGACCUCCACCUGAUCACCAUCUCCGUCUCGACUUCCAGAGCUUCUUUCCUUCUUCUCGGACGUUCUCUCGUCGCCUACUCAGCUGCGACGGCGCCCUCGAAGUUCCGAUUUCUCCUUGUCGUGUAGAGUCUCCCUUCUUUCUAUCGGCGCGUGGCGACGUCGCUGAUCGUAGUUGUCCGGCGGCGAGAGCGAGCUUGAGAGUUCGAGGAGUGCGAGAUGUUGUCGAUCCUGUGACGAAAAGCCGCCGCCAGAGUCACGGGUGCUAUGCUGUUAAGGAAGAUACCGGAGAGAAGAGGGAGGACUCGCGUUUUUGAGGAGAGGACGUUCGGCCGUAGAGGGAGGUCGGGAGGAGAGAAGGUUUUUGGCUGGAGGAGAAACGCCGGCCGAAGGUCUCUUCAGAGUCGUCUGAAGCUUCACCGGAGGCCAGCUCGCCGUCCACCGUCCGCCAUAACCGAUUCUCGAUCCAGGCGAGUGCCUUCCUCCUUUGUAUGUGACGUGUUCCUACCAUAUUGGAACUCGAACCGUGCACGAUGAAGUCGCGGGGAAUUUCGUGUAGAAUGACACUGAUUUGUUGCUUGAUGAUCUCAUCCGAAUGCCUGUAUGCCGCAUUUAGACCGAAAAUCAGACGAUAAUCGGAUCAGAAGCUUGUUCUUGAUACUGCCCAUUACCUGUUUGAUGAAAUGUCUAAGAGAAAACCGAAGAGCAAUUUAUGUUUAAACUCAAGAUUGAUCCAUGUUUGAAUCUACACUUAUUGAACAAUGUCUGAUAUUCGUAUUUUCUUUGCAUUUUUCAUGCGAGUUGGUGAAAAAAUUCCUGUCCGAGUUGGUCGUUCAUGGAUCUUCCCCUCGCCGGAGCUUCACCUCCCUUCGCCGGCGAGCCCUACGGUUCAAGGCCGUCCGAGUCAGUUUUUCUCUUCAUUCUAAAUGUAUUCAUGCUUGGUUGAUUGUUGGAUUGCUGGUUUUAGAAAUUCCGGAUCGAUAGGUUUUUAUUUCGUUAGAUUUUGUGUUUGCCCGGCGGGAGACGACGGACGCCGGCAGGAGUAGGCGGCAGGUGGUGGCCCGGUGGCGGCAAUCACGUGGCAAGGGCGGAUCACUGUGGCGUUGAGAGCUGGCAGUCCCAGUUCGGUAAGUUGCAGGGAAGAAGACGUUCGGUGAAGAAGACGUCCUGAGGUUGAAGAUGAUGCGAGGUGAAGGAGAUGGGCAGAAAAGACAAAACAGAGAAAAAGACCAAAAAAAAAAAAAGAAGAAUAAAAACCCCUUAAAAAAUUCAAAAAAACAUAAAAAUAUUAAAAAUAAUUCGCUUUGAUCCGACCAGGUCGGAUCCGAGUAGACGGGUCGGGUCAAUGUGCCGGAUCGGGUGAAUUCGGUCCGAACCCGUUCCCCAAAUAUAAUAAUAAUAAAAUGGACAUUAAAAAUUAAAAAAAUGGAAAAAAUUAAAAAUUGAGAAAAUGAUAAAAAUUAAGGAAAUAAAAAAUUUAGAAAAUUUGGAAAAACAUUAAAAAGUUUGUUAAAAUCAGAAAAUUCAUAAAAUUUAGAAAAUUGAAAAAUAAUAAAAAAUUAGAAUUCAGAAAAUCAUUAAAAAAUAGAAAAUCCAGAAAAUAACAAAAAUUAGAAAAAGCAUUAAAAAUUCAUAAAAUUAUUAAAAAAAGAAAAUUUUAGAAAAGUUGGAAAACCCUUUAAAAUGUUAAAACCUAAAAUUGGAUAAGCCUUUAGGGAUUUUUUUUUUUUUUUUUGUGUUUUAGAUUGUCUUUUCUUUUUAGAGACAAUUUAAGGAUGCUUGCAUACUUCCUAUUAUGAUUAUAAUUGACUGCGCUUUUCAAUAUUUGGAUUUUAAUUCCUUGUUUUAGUAUGGUUAGGACAAAUUUCGACUUUUUUUAGAUAGGUUGCUAUGGUGUUAAUUAGCACAUGACCGAAUUAGAUACCAAAAUGGCGUUAGUCUUAGGGCUAACAUAAUCAAGUCCUUGAGUCUUGAAUCUCUGAUUGCGUAAAUAUUAAUAUUCUCCCAUAUCUUACUGCUUUCUAGCCUACCCAAAAAGGUUAGUGGCGACUUAUUUAUUAAAAUUUUCAUAGGCUUAAUUGAUGAAAAUCUUGAACGCCUAUUGCGCAAGAUAUGGGCUUGGGAGAGUCCAAGUCAAUGGAUGGCCGUCGGCCCGAGGUCAACAAUACCCUUAAACCUAAUAGGCUCCCUUCCCAUGAGAGAGUUAGGUCGCGACAGCUCGGCAACUCUACUGGGGAUCAAACCUAGAAUCUCUAGUUGCUUAAAUACUAAUAUUAUCCCGUAUCUUAUUGGGUUUCUAGCUUACCCAAAAAGACUAGCGGCGACUUCUUUAUUAAAAUUUUCAUAGGCUUGACUAAAUUUUGAACAUCUGAUUUUGCGUGAGAUAUGAGUAGGGUGAGCAGUUUCAGCUUCCGUAUAGGUUCUACUUGGACCUACUCGUUGGAACAGGUUUCUCAUUUUUUGGAACCUACAACCUACCCUCAAUAUCCUAGAAUUUAGAACCUAUCUUAUCACAGGUUCCGAUGGUCUAGUCAAGUUUCAUUUAUAUUAUUAAUUGAACGAUUGCAGUGAAUUAAGACCUUUAAUGACUGUACUCCCUACUACAAUUCAUUGAUCAUAAAGACAUACUAAAAGUAUAAAUAUUGAUAAAGUAAAAGUCAGUCAUAAAAUGGAACUUUAGACUAAUAUUUCUAGAUUAUACACUAAUCAUCAAACGACAUGGAAUAUUACAAGAAUGAGUGAAGACAUGAACAAAAAAAAAAUUGUUACAAGUUUAAGGUUCUAAGUUUUUUCAACUAAGAACCUGAAACCUAUUAGCUGAAACAAGUUUCUCAUUUUUUGAAACCUAGAGUCUACUCUGCAAACCUUGGAAUCACCCCUAGAUAUGGGCUUGGGAGAGUCCUAGUUAAUGGAUGGCUGUUAGCUCGAAGUUGGCAAUACUCCUAAACUUGAUAAGGUCCCUCCUUGAAAGAGGGGUUAGUUUGUGACAAACUUUUAAGAGCUUUUUCUUUACAAUUUUGUGUUGGGUUUGUUGACACCCAAAAUUUUCGUCGACAUUUUAAUCAUCCAUUUUGCAAGAAUAUAAAAAAAAUAAAGAGUCAAUAAAUAAAAAAAUAAAAAAAAUAAUGAAAAUAUAAAAAAAAUAGAGAGAGAAAAAAAAAGAGAAGUAAAAGAAUCAAUAAAAGAAAAAAAAGAGAAAAAGAAAAGAAGAAAAAAAGAAGAAAAGAAAGAAAGAAAAGAAAAGAAAAAAAUGAAAGAAAAUGAAAGAAAAAAUAAGAAAUAAAGAAAACCAAAAAGGAGAGAAAAAAAGAAAAAUAAAAAAAUAUAAAAGGAAGGGACGCUCUCUCUCUCCAUGGACGCUCUGGCUCUCCACACUUCGCACAGAGUCUCUCUCUCCUCACACGGGCUCUCUCUCUCUCUCUCUCUCUCUCUCUCUGCGUUCGUAUUUUCUGUGGAGUCAUCAAUGGAGUUCGAGGCAGUUGCAGCAGAACCCUAGCCUUCCCACGACGUCAAUAGCGGCAUCUUUCUUGCGCUUCUCCUCGGAUCAUCUUCAUGCCAUCUUUUGAGCUCAUGGACUAGCGAUCUUCCUCUCGCGGACCUCGUCUUCUCUCGGCCGACUCAGCGCUCGAAGCUCAUUUCGAAGACGCGGCCGCUAGGACUCAGAUCUCGGAUCCCUAGCCUCGAACGAUCCCCGUAGACAUCCGUGAUUCCUCAGGGGAAAAUCUCGACUUCGCUCGCGGUCCAUCGAAGGGAGUUUCCGCAUCCGUCUCCAGUACUUCUCCGUUGAGCUCAAGUCGAAGGCGAGGGUUUUUCUCUCGUUAGCGAGGAUCAGAAAUUGAAGACCGGCGGUUGGGGAUUGCGAGGGGAGUUCCGUUUCGCUCUUUCUCUAGCGAUUCUCACUCAGCGGAUCCCUCUCUUUGUCGGAGAUCAGACGUGAGCUCUUUUUCCAUCCUCCUCGAUCUGUUAGGGUUUUCGAUUUCUGUUCUCUAUUUGCAUCCAUUUGGGUCGUGGAUUCUGAUCUCUCUCUAUCCCUCCUUCGGACGCUCACUCGCUUAAUCAAUCCGACGCCUUCGUCGCGGAUCACGCCCUUCCGGAGCUCGAGAUACAGGUAAUCAGGUUUUUCUCUUAUCUCUCUCUCGAUCGCUCUGUCUCACGCAUGGUUCGUUACUCUCUCCCUGGUUUGAUCGCUGUCUUUUUUCUUCUCGAUCACUCUUUCUCUAUCGAUUUUGUACUUGUAUCUGUUUUUUUAGUUCCGAGGUUGUGUGUUUUCAUUAGCCUCUUCUGCCAAGUCACCUUAGCUUGUGUGUCGUUCAUGCUAAUUGCUAUGUUUGUGAUGUUCUGUUGAUGCCAUUUACUCCAUAACCUGGAAAUGUUCUCCACCUGUUUGAUAAAAUUCCUGAAUUAGACCAGUGUGUGUUUUGAUUCAGAAUAUGAUUGAGAGCUUCCCUUUGCUUGAUCGAUACACUAGUUUUGUUGUAUAGACUUUACUUGUAUUUCGUUUCCUUUCAUUUCAGAACUUAGUAACUAGCCGUUUUAGGAUUUGUUAUUGAAAUUCUUGGGUUAGAUACAUAUCUAGUGCAAAGCAAGCUGAGCAAACAGGACAUGUACAAGAAGAAAAUUGAUUGGUUUUAAUAAAAUUGGUCCCCUGCUGUUGCUGUGUUUUUUUUUUUUUUUUUUUUUUUAGAAUUCCUUGUUCUUAAUAUGGAAUGUGUUCUUUGCUAGAAAGCUGUGAGUUCAUUGGUACACUUCAAUCUGGAUUGCUUUCUAUAUUUUGCCCCUUGAUGAGCUUGUAGUUGUCAGUAAACCAAUAUGGUUGUGCGGCCAUUGGAAGAGUUUUUUUUUUUAUGCUCCUUUCUAGAAACUGCUGUCUUCUAUCGGUUGGGAAUAGCUGUUUGAAACAUGAUAGGCAAGCUACAAUUUUUUAUUUGGUUGUGUGUAUACCCAAUCGUGAUUUGUUCAUUUCUUUUUGUGCCUCUUUCGAUUUGAUUUGUGUAAAUGAGGUGUAUAUGUAAUGCAUGAAUGUUAUAUAGUCUCAAUGUAAGACAUGAAGAAUCAGCAUAAUUUGUAUCACUGUGCUUGCUGCCAUCUAUGAUUGUCUAGCUUGCCACGAAUAUACAUGUUACAUUGUGGUCACCUUGUUGUGUUUGUACCAAUGUGUGAUGAGCUGUGUUGAGAAUUGCGUCAAUUCUUUGUGUGUUUGCUGUUUUGACGUACUGCAACUUUCUGUUUUGGUUGAAACGAGGUGUUAGAUAAGUUUUUUUGACUUCGAGCCCUUCUAGACAUAUAACAUACAUUUCUAGAGCUUCGUUUUGAUAUGUCGCACGCCCUGAAUAGACAUCAUCCGGUCAUCGAAAAAUACCGACAAAGUCUGUCAAUUCUGCAGUAGUUUUUUUAGGUUGAUUUGCUGUUUUGACCUACUGCAAUUUUCUGUUUUAACCGGAACGAGCUGGAAGAUGUUGUUAUUAGGACUUAAUGUCUUCUAGAGAUUUGUAAUAGGCUUCUCAAACUUUCCAUUGACAUAUUAUAUGUGCGAUUUGGUCAUCAUUUGCCCUGCCUUUCCUUUUUUCAAAUCGAGCUUUGAAAUCUGGAAUUUGUCUUGAACUGCAAUGCUGUCUUUUCUGUGGCUAGUUGCUGUUAAUCUUAAAAUAAGAUAGUAGAUUUGUCCAAAUUGCCUUCAAUAUGUUGUAAAAUGACGGUGUGACAUGCUACUAUGAUCUAUUUUUGAUUGAUUUGUUCAUGUUCUUAAUAUUUUUAGAAAUUCAUGCGUUAGGAAUCUUGAGGUGCUUCCUUCAUGGAAUGACAUCCUUUAUCAAUUGUCUACAAAACGGUUUUAGGUAUCAUGUGGGUUACACAUUGAUUGCUCCGCUUGCCUUAAAUACAUAUGUUGAGUGAAUUCAAUGGUGCGUGUUUUGGAAUAAGUGAUCUUUAGUUGGUUCAUUCAUUGUUUUGAGUUGAUUGAGGACCAAGGUUAUAUGGCUUGAAUGUUUGUCAUGUUAUAUGCUUUGUGUGUGAUCGUUAUAUGGAUGAUUUAGGUGUAAUACAUAAUGAUGCUAAAUCUUGGGAUUUCACUUAGAAUUUGAUCUAGAAGACUUUGUGACUUUAGUCACUCUUUGUGAACAUAAAAGAAUGUCUUGCUUUUGAUUGUUUCGAUACGUGAUGAUUGUUUUUUUCAUUUGUAUGCAUCUAAUCAUCCAGAUUUUCUAUAUUAGGUUUAGAAUAGGAUCCAAAAAGUGGAGAAGAAGUGAAGAUGGUGGAGGUCGAUGUCCACUCCGACCGUUAUUCUGUAAUAUUCGUUUUUCUCCCGACAUAUGUCUCGGGUUCCUUGUGUUGUAUAAAACUCGACGAGUUGCGGGUUUUCUCUUUUUCCCUUUUUUUUUUCUUAAUUGUGUUUUCUCUUUUAUAUUUUUAGAAUUGCAUGAUUAGGUUUAUUGCUUUCUCUUGAUUGUUUACUUCAUGUCUUGCACUUUCAAUUUCAUUGAUUGUUUUCUUUUCAUUUUUUUAGAAAUAAAAUAGCAUGAAAAUGAUCAACCACGCAUGAUCACUUAGCCUAGGAAUUGAUGAUCCCGAAAAUGUAAAAAGAAACGCAUGGAUAUAUUAGGAAAAACACAACAUACUGUUUAGGUACCGAAAGGGCGCUAAUAGCAAUAUUAGCGUAAUCCAAGUCCCCGAACCUAGAUAUCUGGUUACGUAGGAAUCGAUGGAGCACUCCCGACUCUCGAUUGGGUUUCUAGUCGACCCCCGAAAAUGAGGCUAGUGGCGACUCCUGUAUAUUUUUAGGUUGUUAUAAAUACCUAGAUUAUAUAAAUAAAUCCGCUGUCACGCGGGGUACGAGCUUGGGAGAGCUUGUGAUCUUGAGAUCAAGUACCCCUAAACCCGACCUUUCCCCAUCUUGGAUACUUUUCGAGGGGGCGGCGAGAUCGGGUCGCGACAGGCUUGUGCUUGGAGGAGUCUACGUUUGUUUAUUCAUGGCUUUGCCUUUCUUAUUGUGGCAAUUUUCUGUUAUGUUCGUGCAGGUAAUGAAGAUAAUAAAUAAUUAGAUUAAAAUUUUAAUGAAGUUGCCGAUCGCUUAGUAAGAAUUGUUAUUACUUUUUGUCUAGGUGAUUUAUAUCCAUGGGAAACACAAGACGUAUGAUCACAUUUGUGGGUUCACGCAUGGUGCAAAUAAGUUGUGAGUUAGAAGAGAAGCUCGAAAAAGUACACAAUGGUGACAAGUUAUGUUAUAAUUCAAAGGUUGAACUGAUCAGCCUCAAGAAGAGAAAUGUGAAUGCAUCAGGUAAGACUUACCUACAUAUAUAUUGUACAAUUUUUCAUCAUACUAUACUGAGAUGGUCCGAGUAUUGAUAUGGUUUGAUAAUAUUAGAUCCUUCUUUUGAUAUUUAGAAUUUCUUGUCUAGUAGCUGCCUCUAGAAAAAAGGAAGCACAACUUUAUGUGUCUAUAGGGCAUAUGGAAUCUUUCUCCUGAGAAAUGCAUCACUUCAAGUUAGGGAAGAAAAUGCAGCCUAUUGGAGGUUUAAGGAGUUUCUUGGAACCAUUGCUAGCGUGUUGGCACUAUUGUUCACAACUUUGAAGCAAACUACCAAGGAUAUGAGGAUGCCAUGAUUAGGAUCGUAGAGGUAGUUAGCUUGUACUUGUAUGAAAUUUUAUUCAUGUCAUAAAUAAAUUUAUCAUCAUUAUUAAUAUUUCUUUGUUGUUGUCUAAGUUUGAUUAUCUUCAUACCAACCAUGGAAAAAUGGAUUCUACAUUCCUUAAUACUGGAAAAGUGAUCUAAAAACUGCUCAAUAUGAUAGCUUUCGAUCAUUCUCAUAUCAUUUGAAGAAUCUGUCAGAAAGAGUGAGGAGAGAUCAAUGCAAAAAUCUAGUGACUUUUUGGAGUUCAUGGGACACAUUGUUUUAAUAUAUGACCUGUCAACUUAAAUAGACUCUCAUUACCUCUUACUGACUAUUUUCUGAUAACCUUGUUUUUUUAAUUGGAGAAGCUGAGUGAAACAAAUAAGGUAAUGGAGCAAAACAAAAAAAUAUGACACACCUUAGGAAACAAAAUUUUUGCUAGAAUAAAAAUAGAAAAGGUAAGUAUUCUCAUGUUUCCCCUUAGAUUUUUGUGUUUCCCUGUAAGUGAUAUUUCCAUUGUGUAAUCAAUAAUUUCUCUUUAGAAAAGAUUCUGCUGAGGUGAUAUCUUUGGACUUAAGGUAAAGAUGUCUAGAGAUAUUUGCCACUUUUCCGACACUACGUGUGUUUAGAUAGCAGUUGUCAUAGGAAGAAAAGAUAGGAUGUGUUCUAGAAAUGCCUCCUUAAGAUUGUCUACGUUCUUAGCACGUGCAUCGAUUUCUUGUUAUUAUUCCCUUAGCUCUAUGAUUUGGAUUUGCUAGUGACAGCACAAUAAUCCACAACUUGGUUCAGGUUUAUCUAGAACACAAUGUCCAAAAUCAUUAACAAAAGAGCUAUGCAGCAGCUAGAGCUAUAAAGUAAAUUAUAAAUGAUGAAACCUGUACAAUUUUCUAUUAAUUUGCUAACGUGACUGCAGUUUGGUUUAAUGAGAGAGAUCAAAAAAUAGAAAAGUACUGUAGCCCUAAAAUACCCAAUUGCUAGCUGUGCCAUUUCACAUGCAUGCACACAUCCCCUUAAUUGUUGAAAAGCCAUUCAAUAUAGUUCAUCUAGUGUCAACAAAUGUUAUUCAGUCUUGGCAAUGACAAUAUUGCUGCUGUAAUGUUAAUCCGGGAGUGUUUAGCUUAGAGAAAAAGGACCAUAGGCGAGCCGACGAAAAUCCCAUUUCGUUUUAUUGAGACGGAUCGAAAAUUCAGGAUGUCACAAUAGGGGUAUUCCUUUGCAUGGAACAAUUGUGUGCUAUAUAUCUAAGUUGCCCGUAUAUAAAAAGGAUGAUCUACUAUCAUUUGGAGCAUCCUCAAUAUAGAACAAUCUUGUACGACACGUCUCAUUUUCCCACAUAGAAAGUAUGCCCUUAUGUUCCAGUAAUACCAACAAGUGUUAUGUUUUCCACAAGUGUUGGCCCUGAUUAUUUUGAUUUCUAGACUUCCUUGGCCUAUUAUUGGGUAGAAGUACAGUAUAAAUGUAAAAUUUUGGUAUGUAGAGACAUUUAAGUAUCAAAAGUUACACAAGGUACACAUAAGUGUCACUUUUUUUUGAAAAAUUGGACAUUUAGGGGGUGUUUGUUUGUAUUUUUUUUUGUUUAUGAACAAAAAUCCUUUUUUUUGUUUGUUCCAGAGAAUAAAAAAAGAACAAAAAUGUGUUUGUUUGCGUUUUUGUUCCAAAUCUAUUUUUUUUUGUUCCCGGGAACAAAUUUGAAACAGAAACAAGAAACAAAAAAACUUGUUUCUUGUUUCUGAAACACUUUUAAGAAACAAAUUUUCUCUCUCUUCUAUUUUUCUUCUCUUUCUUUCUUCUUCUUUUCUUUUUCUUUUUUUUUUGGCCGGUCACCGGCCUCGGCCAUGGCCGACGACCUUGCUAGAGCGUCGCCGGCCCCUAGCGAGGCUCGGCCUUGCCAGAUCCAAGAGAGCCUGAGCUCGCCCAGCCAAGGCGAGGCCGAGCCUUGCGCUGGCUAACGACACUCCGCCUUGCCUUGGUUAGGUGAGCUCGAGCUCGCCCAGAUCUGGUGCCGCCUGGAGGUGGCCCAGCGAGGCUCAGCCUCACCAAAUUUGAGCGAGCUCGAGCUCGCCCAGCCAAGGCAAGGCCAAGCCUCGCGUCAACCGGCGACGCUCGGCCUCGCCUUGGCUGGGCAAGCUCAAGCUCACCUAGAUCCGGCGAGCCUCGCCAUGGCUAGGCGAGGCCGCCAGCCCUCAUCGGCCGGUCACCGGCCAUGGCCGAGGUCGGCGACCAACUACAAGGAAGAAAUAAAGAAAAAUUAAAAAAAAUUAAAAAAUUAAAAGAAACAAAAAAAGAACACAAAUUUACCAAACAUGUUUUUGUUCUUUUUAUUUAUUUAUUCCUGGAACAAGUUUACCAAUUACGUUCUUCUGGUAAAAAAUUAUUCCCUAGAAUAGAAAUAGUUUUUUCUAUUUAUGUUUCCUAGAACAAUUUUUGAACAUAAAUGUUAUCACACGCACCUAUAAGUGCCAAUUCCGAUUAAAGAUGCUAGAAAUCCCAUAUAACAUAUUUUUUUAAUAAUAUAACUUGCCUACAUGGCUCACUGGACAGCUAAGUUAGCAAAGUAGAGCCAAAACAAUGUCAUUUUGCCCCUUAUUUGAAUUUUAAUAUGAAUAUUAAUUAAAUUAAAUUUAAAACUAAAUUUAAUAAAUAAAUAUUACAAAAAAAAACAUGGGUUUGCAACUCAGCCCUCACUGCCGCCUCCCCAUCAUUGCUGGGAAGGGCCGGCAAUGGUGGGAGGAGCGUUGCUUAGGGUCGUCGAGCCUUGGUUAGGGGAUGUAACCAGUGGCGACCCUGGCCAACUAGCAUCGAGGGCCUACAAGCCCUCACCCAAAUCUGGGGCAAGGGUCCCAACCUUCCCUCAGAUGCAGCAAAGGUCGCUAGCCCUCGCCUAGUCAAGCCAAAGGCCACCACUGGUUGGGUCACCUAACUAAGGCCUAGUGACCCUAAUCGACCCUCCCUUCACCAUCGCUAGCCCUUCUCAGCAAUGGUGAGAGGCUGCACCCUCGUUGUUCUACAAACCCAUCUUCCCCUUUUUUUUUAUAUUUAUUUAUUAUUUAUCAAAUUUAGUUUUAAAUUUAAUUUAAUAAUAUUUAUAUUAAAAUUCAAAUCCCAAGCAAAAGAACAUCGUUUUUGGCUUUUCUUUCCACGUUAGAGUGCAAAACGACAUCGUUAUACACUGAUCUCAUUGGAAAAAUGUUACGUUAAUAUUUUGACUGUAUUUUCUUGUCACUGGUACUUAGCUAAUCCAUUUUACUCCUAUUUUGGCACUUAUGUGUACCUUUCGAAACUUUUGGCACUCAAAUGUUUCCUCGUGUCAAAUUUUCGCACUCCAAGUGUCUGCGUCCCCUUAUUAUUGCCUCUCUAGUUAUUCCUGCUUUGAGUAAAAUUCCCAUUGGCAUGUUAGAGUAGUUUUAUUUAUGAAUAAACUUAGUUUAAUCGAAUCUUGUUUUGGAUAGUUAUCUACUUGCUUUUGAUAUAAAUUUCUUACCCAAUAUAUAAGAUUUUGAUUUUUUCUGCUCAAAGUAGUUUUCAUUGUUUGGUUUCCCAAUGUCAAGUGAGUGAUGCUUAUCUCUUCUUAGAUUUGGAAACCCAUGUAUUGAAACAAUUAAAAAGGAAAAGUGGUGUUUCAAGCAUAUUUGUUGCAUAAAGCUAGAUCAAGUAAUUACUAUCCGUUUGUUCAUUAGAUAUUGCAUAGUAAACCAUUUCUUAAAAUAGUUUGUGAGUUAAUUAUUUGUUAUAAGGUUUGGGAAAUGCUAUGUAAAAAGUAUUGUGCUUGAUGGAUUAAAUUAUGAAAGGCUAUAUGAUUUGUGAAUCCAAUUCAUGAAAUGGAUUCAGAAUUGGUUUUGUAGAUGGUUGGAUAAUGAGUCAGUUGUUUAUCAUAAUCACUAUGAUCUAAACCUUUACAGGGUUGAACAUAUGCAUAUUGUUCUUAAGAAUUGGUUUUGUAGAUGGUUGGAUAAUGAGUUAGUUGUUUAUCAUAAUCACUAUGAUCUAAACCUUUACGGAGUUGAACAUAUGCAUAUUGUUCUUAAGACAUGCCAUUAGGGCCAAGCCACCAGUUGUCAUUGGUGAAGGCAUACGUGACCAAAUAAACAUUGUUAAGCUACAUAAAACAACUAUUUUGUGAGAUAAUUGGAGCAAGGUUGGCAAAUCAUACAAAAAAGGAGUGCCAAACACCCUAAGUGCCAAAACUUGGCGUGGGUAAAUACUUAAGUACCAGAAUUUCUAAAAGGUACACUUAAGUACCAAAAUCAGAGAAGAAAAUAACAUUUAAGUGCCAGCGGCGAGAAUUUCCAACUAAACUAUUGAUGUGGCUCUUUCCAACAAGAUUUUUUUUUUUUUUUUUAUUGAUGUGGCAAUUCUUUUAAAAAACUUAUCCACAUGAUGCUAACAUGGCUAGAUAUGCCCAAAACGAUACUGUUUUGACUGAAAAUUUGAUUUUUAAAUUAAAAAACUAAAUUACAAAAAAAGAAAAAAAGAGGGAGGUAGUAUUCGGCGAGGGCCUCCCUAGCCCUUGCCGUCGCUGCUGCCACCCCACCAUCGUUGAAAAGGGCAAGCGAUGGUGGGAUGAGGGUUAGCCGAGGUCGCCAGACCCCAGCAAGUGGCCAACGACCUUAGUUGACUGCCAGCGAGGGCUUGUAGGCCCUCAUCCAAAUCUAAGGCGAGAGGUCGUGGGUGACCCCAUCACAGCUAAUGGUGGCCCUUAGCCCCUUUGGGCGAGGGCUAGUGAUCUCGAUCGACCUUUGCCCCACCAUUGUCGACCCUUUCCAACGAUGGUGGGGCAACCAUGGCAAGGGCUAUGGAGGCCCUCGACUCUCGUUUUUUUAAUUUAGUUUUUAAUUUAAUAUAAUUAAUAAUUAUAUUAAAAAUCAAAUUUGGGGGCAAAAAGAUGUCGUUUUACACAUUGAUUGCUAAGUAGACAACCUUUAGUGAGCCACACAGACCCAUAUUUAUUAUUAAAAUAAUGCCACAUUGGAUUUCUAGCUAUCUUCACUAGAGUAGGCAUUUAAUUGUCCAAUUUUUAAAAAUAGUUGCACUUAAGUGUACAUUUUAGAUAUCUUGGUACUUGAGUGUCCACCUGUGCCAAAUUUUUGCACUCAUAGUGUACUUUUGCCUACAAAAAAGGUUAAAAUUUUCAAAUAAUAGUAGUAAACUCAAGGCAUUGCCAAUAAAGGUAAAUAAAAAUUAGUGAAAGAUAAACAAAGGUUUUUGUCAAAGAUAGAAGAAGAUGGCAAUUUAAAAACAAAAACAAAAUAAAUAUUGGCAAGUAUCUUAAAUAAGAGGUGGUAACUUGAUUAGAAAAGCUAGUCCUUGUAAGUAAAAAUAAUUGACUAUUGAUAAGCAACUCAAAUGAGAGUUAGUAACUCAAAACUAGUUGGUAAUUUGACCCCUGAAAACUUUGUGAGGUCACGCAAACAAAGAUUGAUCAUUUCAUAUGGUAGUUGGUAAAUUUAAACCUUAAGUAAGAAAGGUAAAUAAACGUUGGUAAGUAAUUAGAGAAGCUUUUUUUGGUUAAAGAUAAGAGAAAUUGGUAAUUUAAAAGAAAAUCCCAAAUAAAUAUUGGUAGCUAACUCAAGUAGGAGUCGGUAUGCAAAAUAAGUUGGAAACUUAAUUAGUUAAAAGUAGGGAAUCGCUAAAAGUUUCUAAAAACAACCGGUAGAUUUAUAAAGUUUGUCAAGAAGGCAAACAAAAGAAGUGACUUAAUAAAAAUUUUAUAAAUAAAAAAAUAAAUGAACUUUGACAUAAGCAACUCAAAUGAGAGUUGACAACGCUAGCCACUAGGUUACUUAAUUGGAGUGACAUGUUAGUAACUAAAAAUAUAUGGUAGUUGAUAAAACAUUGGUGGUAAACAAGAGAAGUUUUUUUUUUUUAGGUCAAUCACAAGGGAAAGUUUUAAUUGAAAAUAAAAAAACAUCAAUAGCUAACUCAACUAAGUAUAUGUAAUGCAAAUUUUGUUAAUGACUUGAUUGGAUAAUGUUGAGAAUCACUACAAUUCCAAUUCCCAAUUGCAAUUUCUAAAAAGGAGUUGGUAGAUUUAACAAGUGGAUAAAGGAGGCAAAUCAAAGUUGGUAACUCAUUGAAAAAGUGGAUAAAUUUUUUAGAAAAAUAAACAUUGGUAGGCAAUUCAAAUGAAACUUAGUAAAUCAAAGCUAUUCAAUAAUCUAAUGGGAGAACAACUGUUAACUCACACAAUUAAAGGUUGGUGAAGUCAUAUAAAAGUUGAUAAAUUUAAGUCAUCCAUAAGAGAGACAAAUAAAAGUUGGUAAUAAUAAGAAAAUUUGAUAAAUUAAAGUAAGAUCAAAUAAAUAUCGGUAAGUAAUUCAAAUAAAAGCUGGAAAACCAAAACUAGUUGGUAAUUUGAUUGGAAAAAAAGUUGAUAAGUCACUCAAAUAAAUAUUAAAAGAUUCAUAUAUUUGUUGGUAAAUAUUAAUGAUUCAAAAUAAAAGUUAGUGUAAACUGCUAAAAGAGUUGGUAAUUUCAUGAAACUCUUGCUAAAUUACCAAUAAAUUACGGAAUAAUAAGGGACCGGUAGCUUAUUUCUACUUGUAUUUUUAUAUUUAUUAACUCUAUCAGAAAUCUACAAGCAAUGAACAAAAAUCAUUUUUUUAGCAAAAGAAUAGAAUUGUCCUAUUUACUUUUCAUCAUAAUUAUUUAAAAUAUAUAUACAUAACCAAAUCACUUAGUGGCUUGAGAAAUGAGAGAUUAACCCACUAAGCCAUGAGUGUUCUCAUAACUUUUAUUCUUAUCAUACGGAUACCAAUUCAAUUAUAAAUUAUUAUUUUUGUCAAUUAAGCCAUGAAUCUUGUAAAUAUCGUACUUUCAGUCAAUUUGAAUUAGAAAUUACUGACAUAGACGUUAGUUGUCUUAUGUGACACGAUUGUUGCUGACAUAGACAAUUUUUAUAAUUUUGUUAGACUUUUUGAAUUUUUUAUUUUAUAUAUUCUUUUUCUUUCUUACUUUUCCUUCUUUUUUUUCUUCUAAGUUUGAUGAGGAUCGUCGACCCUCACUUGCCAUAGAUUUGGCAAGGGCUACAAAGCCCUCCCCAAUCAUGGUCAAGGGUCGUCGGCCCUCUCUUGUGGUCGACAAGGGUCGAGUGGCCCUCAUUGAACUUGGUAAAAAAAAAUGGAAAAGAAAGAAAAAUAAUAAAAAUAAUAAUAAAUUAUAAAAAUUGUCCACAUCAUAGUGUCAACAUCAACAAUUUUCAAUUAAAAUUGGCCAAAAUGACUACAUUAGUAAAUCAUCAAAUUUUUUAGGAUUCAAUUUAUAAAAUUCAAAAACUUAAAACUAAAUUGACAUAUGUAUAAUAGGUUUAUGACUUUUUGGGUAAUUUUACUCAUUUGCUAUUGAUAAUGCUUUAAAAAGUUCAUUUAAUAUCUUAUUAAUCUUUCAGAAUGAGAAGGGAAAAAAAAAAGAAUCGAUUGGUUUUUAUUUUCCUUAAGGACAAUUAUUAUUUUUUUUUUGGUCAAUCAAACAUUAUGUAAGUCAAAUCCUUUUCAUGUAGACUCCUAGCAAGGUUUGGAUAACCAAGGAUACUGGAGUUGGCAAUUGAUUAUCUAGACCUUGCUAUAAGGCAGCCAGUCCAACAUAGUGCAUUUCACCCUCCCAUUUUCACCCUAGACGUGAAAGGCUAUUAUACCUGCCUAUCCGACAGUAGCCAGAGUGUUUCCACCCUAACGUGGUGUCUAUUUUCACAACUAAAGGGCCUCCUAAUUCCCUUCUCUAUCUUUUUCUUCCCGAAGAGGAGGGAAUAUGGGAGUGACAUUAUAGGGUCUUUCAUCUUAGGGUGAAUCUCUCGCCUAUUUCUUCCCCUUAAGUAUUUUAAGGACCUGCUUAGGUCCAAGUCUACUUUAUUUAGUAUCUUAUCAUAGUUGUUUUCUUUUCAUAAGUUCACACAUGUAUGUGUGUAUGUAUGUAUGUAUGUAUGUAUGUAUGUAUACACACGUAAUAUAUAUAAAAAUAGGUUUUCAUAAGCCUGGAAGAAUUUUAUACUAAUGGUGGUCAUCUUUAAUGAACAGGAUAAGAAAAACGCUUUAAUGUCAACACAAGAAAGAAAUUAGGAGAAACCCUUUCUUGUGCGAAGGAAAAGACGAAGAAGAAGAUAAGAAAUAAUCAAUCCAUUGUUUUAUAUUUUCCACUUACUUAUCUUAUGUUUAGUAUCCGUUGAAUUUUAGAUGUUAAUCAUUAUUAGAAUAUGAAACUAUUGAUCCAUUAUAUGACAUUCAAUCUUGCAAGAGGGACAUAGUGAUGCCACUCGAAUUUGGCUUGAAAAGGAAAUGGAUAAAGUCAAAUAAUAUUCUUCAAAUACACAUGCUAUGACUAGAAUGUGAGACAUGUUAUUUCUAACAUCGAUAUCCGAAAUAGAAUACAAGCAAGAAGCUUUUAAUAAUUAUUUAUCAUAUAUAACAUAAUUGAAUCGUCAAAACAAUAAUUCGAUUCUUUUUACUAAAUUAAUAUUGGAAAUCUAUAAAACCUAGAAAUCAAUUUCAGACAAUUGAACUUCUCAAGUCGUCUCUUGUUGAGAACAAAAGGUAUUUGUGCCAAUAUAUAAUAUGCUAAAAAAAAUAAAAUGCCUAGAACAUGGAAUUGAUCUUAAAAGUACUAUUUCUAUAUCAUGGCAGGAGAGAUAAUUAUCAAAUCAAUGCUAAAUCUAUUGUUUAAAUACUAAUUCAGUCCUAAAUAAUUUUGUCUAAUGUAAUUUUAAACCUUUGUGCAAAAUUUCGAAAUAGUUCUUUUAUCCAACUACCGCAAAAAACUGUUGAUGUCAUGCCUAGUCAUCUCCGAUCAUCCUACAUAGUAAAUGAUAGUGAUGGCUUUGCUCAAAGUAACAUCUUUUGUGGACCACAAUGUUAGCAAUUGGCCAGAAUGACUAUUUUGAAAUUUCGCACAAAGGUUUAUGUUGAUGCUCAAGUUUUUAUAGACGUUUUAAGUAUUCGCUCAUUUUAUGAGAUAUACAAAAUAAAUAUAAUAAUAAAGAAUGAGAAAAUUAAACAAAAAGUAAUGGUAAUAAAAAAAUAAAAAAGAGAUAUAAAACGAAGGAGAUAAAAAAAAAUGGUAAUAAAAUUCGGAGCCCAUAUUCCUUAGCAAAUUUCGGACCUGCCGAGCCCGCGUAACCAGCCCAUUUCUCUUAUUUCGUUUAUGUCUUUCAAACUCACUUUGCUUGGCCCAUUUUCCUUUCUUUGUUCACAUAAGCCCAUCAGAACUAAAAAGAAACAAAAAGCCCAGCCCAGCCCAGCCCAGCCCAGCUCAGCCUUUCCUCUGGCCUUGCUUCGGUAAGGAGCAGCGUGCUUGGGGAGAAGAAAAGGAGAAGCGACCGCAGCGACACAGCAGAAAGACAGGAGCGUUCGGCCAUUGUUGAGGGAGGGGAGAGCAAGGUUGGCUCUGCAAAAAAGUGACAACCAGAGGGAAGGAGGGACAGCCAAGGGAAAAGUUCACUAGAGACAUGUAGCUCGCUCGACGGAGGAGAGCUCAUUGGAAGCAGCCAAGGAGAAAGGAGAAAUCUGAGAGAAUGAGAGAGUGCCGCGGGUUUCGAUCUCAGAGAUGAACUCAAGAUGGGUUCGACGAGAUCGAAUCUGGCGGAGUCGUCGACUGCAGGGAGGAUGAAGUCAGAGUUGAUGGCGAGGUGAGCGAUGAUGUCACCGGCGAGAGGAUGGAGUUAGAGUUGACGGCAAGGAUGGACAGCUUCAGAGUCGACGGCGCUAGGGUUUUUGGUUGAAGCGUUGAGGAGAAGGAACGCCCCCAUCUGGUGAACGAAGAAGAUGCCCAAAUUGGAGAAAAGAAGAAACGAUUUCUAUUCAUAUUUCAGAAACUGAGAAGUUACAAUUUUUAGCUUCUGAUUUCUCCUCCAAAUCAAUUUCUGGAAUAGAAAUCUAUUUUAGAAAUAAAGAAAUCAAAUUGCAUUACCAAAGGGAUUUCUGUUCCAAACUUGUUCCGGGGAACAGAGAAAUAGAGAAAUCAAGAAACAGAAAUUUAUUAUGUGCAGCCUUAAGUACCAAAAUCAGAGAAGAAAUGAACAUUUAAGUGGCAAUGGCGAGAAUUUCCAACUAAACUGUUGAUGUGGCUCUUUCCGGCAAGAUUUUUUUAUUGAUGUGGCAAUUCUUAUAAAAAAUUUAUCCACAUGAUGCUAACUUGGCUAGAUAUGCCCAAAACGAUGUUGUUUUAACUCCAAAUUUGAUUUUUAAAUUAAAAAACUAAAUUACAAAAAAUGAAAAAAAAAAAGAGGGAGGCAGCAUUUGGCGAGGGCCUCCCUAGCCCUUGUUGUCGCCGCCGCCACCUCACCAUCGCAAAAAAGGGCCAACGACGAUGGGAUGACGGUUAGCCAAGGUCGCCAAACCCAAGCAAGUGACCAACGACCUUAGUUGACUACCAACGAGGGCUUGUAGGCCCCGUCCAAAUCUGGGGUGAGAGGUCGUGGGUGAUCCCAUCACAGCUAACAGGGCCCUUAGCCCCUUUGGGCGAGGGCCAGUGACCCCGACUAACCUUUGCCCCACCGUUGUCAACCCUUUUUGACAAUGGUGGGGCAACCAUGGCAAGGGCUAUGGAGGCCCUCGAUGAAUGCUACCUCUCUCCUUUUUUUAAUUUAGUUUUUAAAUAUAAUAUAAUUAAUAAUUAUAUUACAAAUCAAAUUUGGGGGCAAAAAGAUGUCGUUUUGCACAUUGAUUGCUAAGUAGACAACUCUAGUGAGCCAUAUAGACUAUAUUUAUUAUUAAAAUAAUGCCACAUUGGAUUUCUAGCUAUCUUCACUAGAGGAGGCAUUUAAUUGUCCAAUUUUCAAAAAUAGUUGCACUUAAGUGUACAUUUUAGAUAUCUUGGUACUUGAGUAUCCACCUGUGCCAAAUUUUCGCACUCGUAGUGUACUUUUGCCUACAAAAAAGUUUAAAAUUUUCAAAUAAUAGUAGUAAACUCAAGGCGUUGCCAAGAAAGGUAAAUAAAAAUUAGUAAAAGAUAAACAAAGGUUUUUGUCAAAGAUAGAAGAAGAUGGCAAUUUAAAAACAAAAACAAAAUAAAUAUUGGCAAGUAUCUUAAAAAAGAGGUGGUAACUUGAUUGGAAAUAUGCCAGUAAUCACUCUAAUGAAGUUGGCAAUUUCAAAAAAAGAGUUGGUAAAUUGAAAAUGUUAGUGAGUGAGGCCAAUAAAAGUGGUAACUCAAUAGAAAAGCUAGUCCAUGUAAGUAAAAAUAAUUAACUAUUGAGAAGCAACUCAGACAAGAGUUAAACUCAAAACUAGUUGGUAAUUUAAACCCCGUAACUUUGUGAGGUCACGCAAACAAAGAUUGAUAAUUUCAUAUAGUAGUUAGUAAAUUUAAACCUUUAGUAAGAAAGGUAAAUAAAAGAUGGUAAGUAAUUAGAGAAGCUUUUUUUAGUUAAAGAUAAGAGAAGUUGGUAAUUUAAAAGAAAAUCCCAAAUAAACAUUGGUAGCUAACUCAAGUAGGUUAGUUAAAAGUAGGGAAUCGCUAAAAGUUUCUAAAAACAACCGGUAGAUUUAUAAAGUUUGUUAAGAAGGCAAACAAAAGAAGUGACUUAAUAAAAAUUUUAUAAAUAAAAAAUAAAUGAACUUUGAUAUAAGCAACUUCAAUGAGAGUUGGCAACGCUAGCCACUAGGUUACUUAAUUGGAGUGACAUGUUAGUAACUAAAAAUAUAUGGUAAUUGAUAAAACAUUGGUGGUAAACAGGAGAAGUUUUUUUUUUUUUUUAAUUUUUUUUGGUCAAUCACAAGGGAAAGUUUUAAUUGAAAAUAAACAAACAUCAAUAGCUAACUCAACUAAGUAUAUAUACUGCAAAUUUUGUUAAUGACUUGAUUGGAUAAUGUUGAGAAUCACUCCAAUUCCAAUUCCCAUUAGUAAUUUCUGAAAAAGGAGUUGGUAGAUUUAACAAGUGGAUAAAGGAGGCAAAUCAAAGUUGGUAACUCAUUGAAAAAGUGGAUAAUUUUUUUAGAAAAUUAAACAUUGGUAGGCAAUUCAAAUGAAACUUAGUAAAUCAAAGCUAUUCAAUAAUCUAAUGGGAGAACAACUGUUAACUCACACAAUUGAAGGUUGGUGAAGUCAUAUAAAAGUUGAUAAAUUUAAGUCAUCUAUAAGAGAGACAAAUAAACUUUGGUAAUAAUAAGAAAAUCUGAUAAAUUAAAGUAAGAUCAAAUAAAUAUUGGUAAGUAAUUCAAAUGAAAGAUGGAAAACCAAAACUAGUUGGUAAUUUGAUCGAAAAAAAAAGUUAAUAAGUCACUCAAAUAAAUAUUAAAAGAUUCAUAUAUUUGUUGGUAAAUAUUAACGAUCCAAACAAAAAGUUAGUGUAAACUGUUAAAAAGAGUUGGUAAUUUCAUGAAACUCUUGCUAAAUUACCAAUAAGUUACAUAAUAACAAGGGACUGGUAGCUUAUUCUACUUGUAUUUUUAUAUUCAUUAACUCUAUCAGAAAUCUACAAGCAAUGAACAAAAAUCAUUUUUUUAGCAGAACAAUAGAAUUGUCCUAAUUUACUUUUCAUCAUAAUUAUUUAAAAUAUAUAUAUACAUAACCAAAUCACUUAGUGGCUUGAGAAAUAAGAGGUUAACCCACUAAGCCAUGAGUAUUCUCAUAACUUGUAUUCCUAUUAUAAGGAUACCAAUUCAAUUAUAAAUCGUUUAUUUUUGUCAAUUAAGUCAUGAAUCUUGCCAAUAUCGUACUUUCAGUCAAUUUGAAUUAGAAAUUACUGACAUAGAUAUUGGUUGUCUUAUGUGACACGAUUGUCGCUGAUGUAGACAAUUUUAUAAUUUUGUUAGACUUUUUGAAUUUUUUUUAUUUUAUAUAUUCUUUUUCUUUCUUACUUUUCCUCUUUUUUUUCUUCUAAGUCCGAUGAGGGUCGUCGACUCUCACUUGCCAUAGAUCUAGCGAGGGCUACGAAGCCCUCCCCAAUCAUGGUCAAGGGUUGUUGGCCCUUGCUUGUGGUCAACGAGGGUUGAGUGGCCCUCAUAGUACUCGGUACAAAAAAAAAAAAAAGGAAAAGAAAGAAAGAAAAUAAAAAAAAAAUAAUAAAUUAUAAAAAUUGUCCACAUCAUAGUGUCAACAUCAACAAUUUUCAAUUAAAAUUGGCCAAAAUGACAACAUUAGUAAAUCAUCAAAAGUUUUAGGAUUCAAUUUACAAAAUUCAAAAGCUUAAAACUAAAUUGACAUAUGUACAAUAUGUUUAUGACAUUUUGGGUAAUUUUACUCAUUUACUAUUGAUAAUGCUUUGAAAAGUUCAUUUAAUAUCUUAUUAAUCUUUCAGAAUGAGAACGGAAAAAAAGAAGAAGAAUCGAUUGGUUUUAUUUUCCUUAAGGAUAGUUAAUUUUUUUUUUUGGUCAAUCAAACAUUAUGUAAAUCAAAUCAUUUUCAUGUAGACUCCUAGCAAGGUUUAGAUAACCAGGGAUAUUGGAGUUGGCAAUUGAUUAUCUAGACCUUGUUGUAAGGCAACCAGUCCAACAGAGUGCAUUUCACCCUCCCAUUUUCACCCAAGAGGUGAAAGGCGAUUAUACCUGCUUAUCUGACAGUAGCCAGAGUGUUUCCACCAUGAUGUGGAGUCUAUUUUCACAACUAAAGGGUCUCCUAAUACCCCUCUCUAUCUUUUUCUUCCCGAAGAGGAGGGAAUAUGGGAGUGAUAUUAUGGGGUCUUUCAUCUUAGGGUGAAUCUCUCGCCUAUUUCUUCCCCUUAAGUAUUUUAAGGACCCGCUUAGGUCCAAGUCUACUCUAUUUAGUAUCUCAUCAAAGUUGUUUUCUUUUCAUAAGUUCACGAGAAUAGAAUAUAUAUAAACAUUUAUGUAUGUAUGUAUGUAUGUAUGUAUGUAUGUAUGUAUGUAUGUAUGCACACGUAAUAUAUAUAAAAAUGGGUUUUCAUAAGCCUGGAAGAAUUUUAUACUAACGGUGGUCAUCUUUAAUGAACAGGAUAAGAAAAACGCUUUAAUGUCAACACAAGAAAGAAAUGAGGAGAAACCCUUUCUUGUGAGAAGGAAAAGACGAAGAAGAAGAUAAGAAUAAUCAAUCCAUUGCUUUCUAAUUUCCACUUACUUAUCUUAUGUUUAGUAUCCACUGAAUUUUAGAUGUUACUCAUUAUUAGAAUAUAAAACUAUUGAUCCAUUAUAUGACAUUUCAAUCUUGCAAGAGGGACAUAGUGAUGCCACUCAAAUUUGGCUUGAAAAAGAAAUGGAUAAAGUCAAAUAAUAUUCUUCAAAUACACAUGCUAUGACUAGAAUGUGAGACAUGUUAUUUCUAACAUCGAUAUCCGAAAUAGAAUACAAGCAAGAAGCUUUUAAUAAUUAUUUAUCAUAUAAAAAAUAAUUGAAUCGUCAAAACAAUAAUUCGAUUCUUUUUACUAAAUUAAUAUUGGAAAUCUAUAAAACCUAGAAAUCAAUUUCAGACAAUUGAACUUCUCAAGUUGUCUCUUGUUGAGAACAAAAGGUAUUUGUGCCAAAAUAUUAUAUGCUAAGAAAAAAAGAAAAUGCCUAGAACAUGGAAUUGAUCUUAAAGUACUAUUUCUAUAUCAUGGCAGGAGAUAUAAUUAUCAAAUCAAUGUUAAAUCUAUUGUAUAAAUACUAAUUUAGUCCUAAUUUAUUUAUUUAUUUUGCCAAUGUAAUUUUAAACCUUUGUGCGAAAUUUUGAAAUAGUUCUUCUGUCCAACUGCCGCCGAAAACUAUUGACGUCACACCUAGUCAUAUCCGGUCAUCCUACAUAGUAAAUGAUAGUGACGACUUUGCUCAAACAACAUCUUAUGUGGCAAUUGGCCAAAAGGCACUAUUUUGAAACUUUGCACAAAAGUUUAUGUUGACACUCGAAUUUUUAUAGAUGUUUUAAGUAUUCACUCAAUUUACAAGAUAUAAAAAAUAAAUAUAAUAAUAAGAAAACAAGAAAAUUAAACAAAAAGUAAUGGUAAUAAAAAAUAAAAAAGAGAUAUAAAACGAAGGAGACAAAAAAAAAUGGUAAUAAAAUUCGGAGCCCAUAUUCCUUAGCAAAUUUCGGACCUGCCGAGCCCGCGUAACCAGCCAAUUUCUCUUAUUUCGUUUAUGUCUUUCAAACUCACUUUCCUUGGUUCUUUCUUUGGUCACAUAAGCCCAUCAGAACUAAAAAGAAACAAAAAGCCCAGCCCAGCCUAGCCCAGCCCAGCCCAGCCUUUCCUCUGGCCUUGCUUCGGUAAGGACCAGCGUGCUUGGGGAGAAGAAAAGGAGAAGCGACCGCGGCGACACAGCAGAAAGACGGGAGCGUUCGGCCAUUGUUGAGGGAGGGGAGAGCAAGGAAGGUUCUGCAAAAAAGUGACAACCAGAGGGAAGGAGGGACAGCCAGGGGAAAAGUUCACUAGAGACGUGUAGCUCGCUCGACGGAGGACAGCUCGCUGGAAGCAGCCAAGGAGAAAGGAGAAAUCUGAGAGAACGAGAGAGUGCAUCCCGUUUAGGAGCGACGGAAAACCGCAUCGCCGGAGCUCGCCGUCGAUUUUCAGAGCUCCGGUCAAAGGCCAAUCCGCGAGUUGUUCUUCACAGUUGCUCUAACCAGACGAUCUUCAUCGUCGUCAAUCGAGACCUCGAUCCGCCAAACAAACCGGGAACAAUCUCGCUCCAAACGCUCUUCUCUGUCUCAGUUUUGGCCGAGAAAGAAAUGCUCGACUCGAUCGAUUUUCUUGAAAGAAUCUUUGAUAAAACGAAUUUUUGUAUUGUUGCUAAAAAUGGUGUUUUAAGUCUGUACGUAACGUGUGAAGCUGAGGAUCUCGUUAAAAUCAAAAUCAGAGAACUGUUGAAAGAUCUGCAUAUUGCACGUUUGAUCAAAAUGCCUAACAGAGGGCCGAAAGUUCAAUCACGUUUAAACUCAAGAUCGAUUCGUACUUGCUGCGUCAUUUGUUGAAUCAUGUCUAAUACUAGCAUUUUCUCUGUGUUUCUAUGCGAUUUGAUGAAAAAUCUUUGCUCGAGUCCAACGUGCAUGCAUAUAUCUCCAAUGCUGGAAAGCUUUCCGUCGGAGAAUUCCAUCGCACCCAGCGAAGUCAGCGUUUCAAGGGCAUAUUAGUUAAGCCCAUCUCGCUUCAUUCUAAUGUAAGUUUUCUUGUGAACUUGCUGGGGUUGCUGCUGUUAAAAAAGUGGAUUCGGUAGGAUGGUUUUUGUUAAGUUUUCGGAUAGAUGGAGUGGGCAGCCGGAGGUGGUCAAAGUGGGUCGGAAUAGACGAUCGGCGGUCGGAGAUAGGUCGGCGGUGAUCUAAGCUUUCGUGAUAAACUCGUCGGUGAUGAUAUUUGUUUCGUUAAAAAGGAAUAUAAAAAAAAAAAAAAAAUUUGGCCGCGAAAGGUGGAGUUGCAGGUUGAAGAUGGUGUUCGGGUAGAGGAUGUCGAGAGAGGAAGGGAGAAAUGCAGGCAGAACGAGACAAAAACAGGAAAAGACAAAAACAAAUUAAAUAAAAAAAGGCAAAUCAAUUAAAAAAUUCAAAAGAAUAUUAGAAAUCGGUUUUAAUCCGACGCGGGUCGGAUCCGGCUAUACGGCUCGGGUCAUAGAUUCGGAUCGGAUUAACGGUCCGAACCCAUUCGCUGAAUAGAAUAAAAUAAAAUAAAAUAAACAAAUUCUGAAAAAAUUCUAAAAAAAUUCAUAAAAGAUAUAAAAAUCCUAAAAAUCAAUAAACAAUAGGAAAUUCGAAGAUAUAGAAAAAUUCCGAAAAUUUUUAAAAGUUAUUGUUAUAAAAAAUCGAAGAAUAGAAAAUUCUUAAAUAACAAUAAAAAUAAAAAAGUUCAGAAAAAUUCCAAAAAUAUUUAAAGAUUCAAAAAAAAAAAUUCCACAUACAUAGAUUUUUAAUCUCGAAAAUAAAUAAAAUAAAUAAAUAAAUAUUAAAAAUUCAGAAAAAUCAUUAAAAAUUCAUAAAAUUCUAGAAAAUGAGAAAAAAUUCAGAAAAAUUUGCAAAUUAUUUAAAAAAUUAAAAUAUAAAAUUAGACAACCCUUUAGCACUUUACAAUAGGAUUUUUAUUUUGAAUUUCCCAACAAAUUUAUGAUUCUUGGUGUACUUAUGCUUUGGAUAUUCUAUUUUUAUUGUAAAUAUCGCAAAUUAUAAAAUUCUAAUUGUUGGUAUAAUAGAGAUAUUUAAAUUUUUUUCUGAUUUUCUAUAUUUAUUUUGGUUAUCUAUAUCUAAUUAGAUUUUUUUUAUCUCCUUAAUUAUUCAACUACUCUUUUUUAGAACAUCGAAAUUUACAUAAACUUCAUAUUAAUCUCUUCCGCAUCAUUAUUCUUAACUUAAAAAAAAAAACAAAACUCUAAAGUUUUUUCACCACAAACCGUUCAGCUUCUCUCUAACAUUUUCUCUCUUCAUCACUCACAUCGUUCACUGUAAGCUCAAGCUCAAAUGCUCUCUCUCCGUUCAUCUUUGCUUUCACCAAUGCCUGUGCCCAGUGAGUGACUCGCUGACUGUGGUUCGUCUCUGUUCAUUGGUGGUGUCAUUUACUAUGGUUUUUUCUAUGUUCUUUUCUUCUUUUUGGUUUGGCUUUUUUAUAACUAGGAAUUGGAGUGAUUUAGGUUCAUGACUCGUGAAUCAACUCGAUAUCCGUAAAAUGUAUUUGCUGAUUGUCAAUUGUGAUGUGAACCCGUUUGUUCUGAUUUGCUUUCCAUUGAUUCUUGCAUUUUUUCCUUGCCUUGGUUCCUUUUCUUUUUCUUGGUUUGCAAGUUUUAACAUCUGUUAUUUUACUGAUAGAUUCUAGUUUCCUACUUGAAUUAUGAGGUUUUACCCUGCUUUGUCUUCUUUCCAAUUCGUGUAGUAUACGUGAUUUGAGUUCCAAUUGCUGUUCAUACUAUGCCUCAGUCCCAUUGUUUAAUGUCCUAAGGAUUCAUUCCGAGUGAGGUUUUGAACUUCUAAGAGCUCUUUCUUUAGGAUUCCGUGUUGGGUUUCUCUUGGAGGGGUUUAAGUCUAUUUAUUCAUGGCUUUGCCUCUCUUAUUGUGGCCAUUUUCUGUUAUAUUUACGAUCUUAUUGGAUAUUCGUGUGACCUUUGCCUCCAGCAGAUGAAGAUAAUAGAUGAGCAUUUUAAUCGAGUUGUGAUCUCUUACUAAGAAUUGUUAAUAUUUUUUGUCUUGGUGAUUUUUAUCCAUGGGAAACACAAGACGCAUGGUCAUAUGCGUGGGUCCACGCGUAGUGCAGAUAAGUUGUGAAUUAGAAGAGAAGGUUGAAAAAUCACACAUGGGUGUUGAGCUACGUUCUAAUUCAGAGACUGAAACUAAGCAGCCUCAAGAAUAGACUACAAAUGUGAAUGCAUCAGGUAAGACCUACCUACAUAUAUUUUGUGUAAUUUUUCAUCAUACUAUACUAAAAUGGUCAGUGUAUUGAUCUCGUUUCAUAAUAUUAGAUAUGUCUUUCAAUAUUUAGAAUUUCUUGUCUAGUAGUUGCCACUAGAAAAAGGAAGCGCACCUUUAUGUGUCUAUCGGGCAUAUGGAAUCUUCCUCCUGGGAAACACGUUAUUGUCAAGUUAGGGAAGAAAAUGCAGCCCAUUGGAGGUUUGGGGAGUUUCUCAGAACCAUUGGUAGCGAAUUGGCACCAUUGUUUACAACUUGAAACGAAUUACCAUGGAUAUGAGAAACAUUAUGAUUAAGAUUGUAGAGAUCGUUAGGUUGUACUCAUAUGAAAUCCCAUUCAUGUUGUAAAUAAAUUUAACACGAUUAUUAAUAUUUCUUUGUUGUAGUCUACGCUUGAUUAUCUUCAUACCAGCUAUGGAAAAAUGGAUUCUACAUUCCUUGAAUUCUAAAUGGAGAUAUUGGAAAAGUGAUCUAAAAGCUGCUCGCUAUUAUAGCUCUCAAUCUUUAUCGUAUCAUUUGAAGAAUCUUUUGGAGAGAUUGAGAAGAGAUAGAUGGAAAAAUCUCGUCACUUUUUGAAGUUCAAAGGAAGGGAAGGUAUGAAUCUCGUUCCAGCAUUGUUUUAAUAUGACCGGUCAACAUUAAGUAGACUUUCAUCGCCCAUUAUUGACCAUUUUGUGAUGAACUUAUUAUUAUUAUUAUUUUUUUUUAUCGCAGAAGCUGAGCGAUGCAAAUAAGGCUGAUAGAGCAAAACAAAAGAUACAACACACCUUAGGGAAUAAAAGUUUGUCUAGAAUAACUGCAGCAAAGGUACUCUCAUGUUUUCCGUUAAAUUUUUGUGUUUCCCUAUAAGUGAUAUUUCCAUUUUGUAAUCAAUAACUUUUCUUUAAAAAUAUUCUGCUGUGGUGAUAUAUCAUUGGACCUAAGGUAAAGAUGUCCCGAGAUUUGUGACUUUUCCAACAAUAUGCGUUUUAAUAGUAGUUGUCGUAGGAAGAAAACAUAGGAUUUGUUCUAGAUUGCCUCCUUAAGAUUGUCCACGUUCUUAGCACCUGCAUUGAUAUCUUGUUAUUAUUCCCUUAGCUUUGUGAUUUGGAUUUGCUGGUGACAGCACAAUCAUCCACAACUUGCUUCAGGUUUAUCUAGAACGCAUAGUCCGCCAUCGUUAACAAAAGAGCUAUGCAGUAGCCAGAGCUGUAAAUUAACUUAUAGAUUAUGAAACCUAUACAAGUUUCUAUUAAUUUGCUAACAUGACUGCACUUUGUAUAUGAGAGUGAACGAAAAAACAGAAAACUACUGCAGCCCUAGAAUACCCAAUUACUAGCUGUGCCAUGUCACAUGUAUGCACACGUCCCCACAAUUGUUGAAAAGCCAUUCAAUAUAGUUCAUCUAGUGUUAACAAAUGUUAUGCAGUCUUGGCAAUGACAAUAUUGCUGCUGCAAUUUAUUAGGAAUUUAUACAGUUAUCUGAGCAGAAGAUGAAUGGACCAAGAAAAGAGGGUAGGCUGGAAUAAAUAGUAUAAAAUUAAAACCAAAAGUCUAACUUCCUAGUGUGUGUUUUCAUAUGGUUUUGGUAGAUGACAAGCCAUAUAACAAUCCGCAAGAAACACCUAUAAAAAUAAAGAAUGAGAUUACUUUUCAAUUUGAUAUCUCUGGACAUCUUUUCUUGUUUUACAGGAAAGUCAGUUAUGCUGACUAACCAAGUUCUGGCACAUGAUAGGAAGCAGAGUUAAGAAUUCAGCUUAAAAUUACUCGACAAUAAAUAGUAACAUCAUUAUUUUAUUUUAUGUUACCGAAUUGCAAGGAAGCAUGAAUGAUCUCAUAGAUCUAUAUUUGGAACUUGGAAAGAGCAAUCCCCCCAUGAAAUACUGUUUUUCUAGUGUUGGGAAAAAAGAAACCUGGUGUAUCUGAUGCUAGGGCAUAGUCCAUGCCUGAAUGAUUUGGGGCCUCAAAAUCUAGUUGUCUUCCAACCGAGAACUUAAGGUCAAAGAAAAAGAAGGAUGAAGAGAUUCACAUUUUGAAGAAAUAUAGUUGUCUUCCAUCCGAGAAAUGAAGGUCAGACAAUGAGAAAGAUGAAGAGAUUCACAAGUUGAAGGGAAUACUGAAAGCAACAAAAGAGCAAUUACAAAAGACAAAAUGGAGACGUGCAAGAGUUACGGGCUCAAAAAGAUGUCUACUAUUAUACAAAAUUGUUAGCAUGCGGCAGACUCAAAGUGGUAUCACGAGAUCUAGAUGAGGUAGUAUGUCAUGAGCCAUGAGGUGUGACUAAUUUCAUUGAAUGUUAAAAUAGUGAAAGGUGUUUUAUUUACUAAAUACUGAGUGACCUAGAUAUUGGACACUAAGGGGGUUUUAAAGGGAAUAUAGGUGGGAUAGACUUGAAACAUGAGUAUGGUAUCGGGAUCGCUUCAAUGGAGCUUGGAAGUGGAAUACAAAUUUAGCAUAUUGUUACUAUGUUUUUUUUUUUUUUUUUUUUUUUUUUUUUUUUUUUUUUUGCUGUGACUAAAUCAUGUUUUGGGUUUACUUCUCUUGCAUCAUGCCUUGUCCUUUUUGCUAAUUUUGAAGUACACAAGUGAUUGCCCUUAUCAGUCACUGCUGGGUGUUGCUCCUUUUUUUUUUUAAGGUCACUUCUGAGCUCUUUUGUCCUUCUCUGUAUAGAUCCUGGGGUGUUAUAGCAUCUUUUAUAUUGAAGAGAAGUUGAAAUGUUGCCUGUUUUGGCACUUGAGAGUGGUUGAGGGACACGGUCAAAUGCUUGGAAAUGGUCUAUGUUGAUGAAUGGGUUUAUCAGAUGACCUAAUACCAUAUGUUGAUGAACCUUACGCUACUCUAUUUUUGGCCCUCAAUGCAUUUCUUCUUCUUCUUGCUCUUAAAGGUUAGGCUUCUAUUUUCAUAAUCAAACUUCUCGAGUUUGCUGGGUUACAGCAAUGAUUGUGAUUUGUGAACUGGUUUACAGCCAUUCAAUAUUGGUUGUAGUGUUUAUAAGAUGCUUUGGCCACUCACAACUAUGUUUUUUGCAAUGAAGUGAAUGGAGCUCCUUUGUUCACGUCUCUGCAUUUUUUUCAAGUGACAGGAAAUGUGGCUUAUCAUGUCUUGCUCAUUCUGUUUUAACAAAUAAGCUUCUCUACGUUUUGAUAUGCUUUACAGAUUAGUUAUGAGCUCCUACGUUCAUUUAUUUUAUUACUUUCUGUGAUCUAAGCUUCCUCUACAUCCUUCUCCAAUCCAAAUUAUUGAAGGUUUAAUUGUGCGAUGUUCAACUAGCGAUCACUCUCAUGAUAGCUUGUGCUGAUUUCACACCCAUUAUGCUUAAUCCUCUUUCCUGCACUCAUUUGCUUUGCUGGAUGAUGACCAUCAUAACCCACAAUAGAGAUCUCCAAAAAUCAGUUUAUGCUCUCCAUUGUCGAGUCAUGAGCCACACUCUAAAAGAUGGGGUUGGUGUUACCUCCAAAGGUACAGUGAUCAUUGUAGAGCCCGCAUUCUAUUUAUUUUUUGUUAUAAAUGUCUUAGGUCUAGUAAAAAAAGAACAAAACAGCUUCUUGUGCCCGUUGUUGAAGAAAGCUCAUUAAAGAACUAGUAUAGUUCCCGCAUCUUCAAGAUAUGAUGAGGCUAGAAAAGAUUUUAUAGCGAUGAUAGGACCUCUUUCAUGUGCAGUCGAACAUUAUGUCCGAGCUAUAGCUGAAAUUGCUUUAGAAUGCGAAAAAGGAAAACACAGCAACAUAGUGUUUUUGUUGCAGUGAUUCUCUCUUGGACAUAGGGUGUCUAUCUCUCCCUCUCUGAACCUACCUUGUUUAAUUAUUCCUUUCUUGCAUUGGAAUAGUACAAAGAGCAAUCUAGAGAGUCCAAUAACUUAUGGAUGUCGGUGAAAAAUUGACCAUUGUCCUUCAGUACAUCUAGACAAUUUUUGGAUUGCGCCAAAAAGGCGAAAGCCCAUGCUUGAGAAGUUUUCGCCUUUUUGUUGUGAUUUGUGUAACGUGAUCAAAUGGAUGAUUCAGGGGUUUCAUGGCUGUUGCGUGACGGCUAAGCAAGUUGAGCGUCAUAACUCCUGAGCACGUCAAUUUGUUGUUUUUUGAAUCUUAUGACUUUGAUAAGUUAAUAGAUUUAGCUUUGAGAAGAUUUUGGAAUAAAGUACUCAACGGAGACGAGGAUUUCGCAUUAUUCAUCCGUUGAUGUUUCUUGGGUGGAUAUGUGAUGCGUUGUCCUGAAGGAUGUUGAGGACAUGAGGCGAUUCUCUUGUUCCGUUUCCGAUUAUUAGCAAAGCCAACAUCUUGGGAAUCAUCUAUAGCAUAAGAGCUAAAAACAAAGAUAAAAGUAAAUAGGCGUGCGCUAUGCAAACGCAACAGACCUGAAAGAGUUUGUCAUAUACAUUUAUUAGUCAACCUUUAUAAUGCAAUAUUUGCUUGUGGUUAUCUAACUAAUUUCGAUGACAUGUUACAGGUGUCAAAUGUUGUAGGUGUCAAAUUUUGUAAUACUACAUUCAUGUGGCUUGCAUGUUGUGUUAAUAAUUUAAAGGAUGUUAGAAAAAUGAAAGCAUGAUAUUACUUUUUUUUAAUUUUUUUAUGAGAACUAGAGAUGGAGUUCAAGUUUCACAUUGUGGUUUAGUUUCUUAGUUAUCAAUAAUUGAGUAGAAUCAACUUUAAUCUUGGACGCAUAUGCUAUAUAGAGUUGAGCUUGAGCAUGGGAUUGAGAAACAAAGUUUUGGCAUACUAACAGUACAAUAUCAAACCAUCAAUUUGAACUUAAACUUUGUAUCAACAAACUACUUCAAAUGAAUUUAUAGCUUGACUGCAAUUUUAUAGCUUUUUUUCCCCAAAUGAAGUACGUUUUCUUAGACACUUUUAGUUCAUUGACCAACUAAAUAAUAUGCUACGACAUUCCUUGCAUGCCGACAAGAAUGAUGCUAGUGGUCUUCAAAACUUCACCAAGCCUCUCCAACGUAUACAAGUCCCGUGAGAGCUUGAUUCCUGAAAAAUAUAAUCACCAUCAAUCUUUCGAGAAAAUUUCAAAAUAAAAUUAAGAUAAUCAAACUAUGUAGUCAAAUCAACCAAAAAUACAUGUGAACUUAUUUUUACUGUGUUUAAUAUAUUUGUCAAUGUAUACUAUUUAUAACAAAUAUAUAGAAGAUGUUAACUGCAUUCAUUGAGACUGAAAUACUCGAAAGGAUGCUGAUGAAAGUAAAAAAUAAUUGCAUUCAUUGAGAUUGAAAUAUUAGAAAUGAUCUAUAUAUAAUAGAAAAUGAUAUCAUGUGAAAAGAUACAUAAAUCUGGUGAGAUUCGUAUUGCGAUUAAAGGAAUGGGAUUAUAUGUGCAGAUUUAAUAUAUCACAUAAGUUUAUUUCUUGCACCACCAAAUGCAAACAAUUUAAUACUAAGCCAUUCACCCAAUCUUUGGCUUGUACCCUACUUGGUCCAUGAGAUUAGUAAGGUAUGAUAUGGGCUUGACAUCUUAUCUGCACAAGAUAAGUUUCUUGGAAGGAGAAACAAUAUCUUAUUACCAGAAAAUGGCCAGUUUAUUUAUAAAUCAAGUAGAUAAAGCCCCCUCCUCCUUUCCCCCCUUUCUAUCUAGUGCACUUAUGGAAGUAGGUCAAUGAAAUUUCAUUUAUGUGAAUUAACAUACGCAUAAAUACACUUUUUUUGUUUUUUUUAACGACUUUUAUGAAAACUGGUUUUGUUCUCAAUCUAGCUAAAUUAAGAAAUUUUUAUGUUCACAAUCGACUAAAUUAUAGUAGAAGAUAAAACUAAGACUCAACCUAGGCAUCAAAAGUUUAAUGAGUAGCAGAAAUAGACACUGUACCUGACAUGAAUCCUUCAUGACUAAAAGAAUGAAUUCCUAGAAGAUCGACUUCUUUAACUCCUAUUUGAAGUGGCUUUUAAUCGAAUGUAAAAAAUGGGGAAGGACACAGAAAUACAUCAUCCACCAAUUAAUAAAGUAUUUUAGGUCUAAAGUUUGAGAGUGAAAGGAGAUGUGACAAGUUUUUCCGACCUGCCUAUAUCUCCUUUCCUUCUUCGUUCAUUCUACUGGUAAGCGGCUGCUAUUCUUCGGUCACUCCUGGUGAGCAUCCGGUGCUGUGGGUAUCCUUCCAUUGGCUUCAUGAUCUCUAAUUGCAAUCAUCAUCAUCGUGUUAUCCACUGUUUUUUUAGCUCCAGUUCUGAUUUGCUUCAUAUAUCAUGAGACUAAACUAACGACACAAAAAAGAAAACCUGUCUUUCAUGGGCAGUUACAUAUCUCGCUCUGCAGCUCCUUGGCGAGGUUUGCAUGUCUGUGUUCCUCUUAUGUUCUUGUCUUUUGGUAGUCACUGAUGUAGCAUUUGGCGAGCUCUUCUAAUAGAUUCUCUCUCUUUCACGCGUGCAUAAUGCGGCCCACUAAGGAAUAGAAGUCCAAGAAUGUAAACAGAAUAAGAAACAUAAUUCAAAUUGUUCGCAGGAUGUGAAGGUUCUGGGAUGAAUAUUCUCUUCGUAGCAUUAUAAUAUUCCAAAAAGGGAGUUAAACCUCACCUUCGCAUGACUUGGGUUGUAACGUGGCCAAAACCUUGCACUUAAAUGUCACCAAUUUCUUCGAUGCUCUUGUGAUCAGGCUAUACAUGGUAAUGUCUGUGAAUUCAUUAUUCUUCUUGCAACAACAAAGUCCACUUCUUUUUAUACAGAUGCUGUUCUUUUUGCUUUGCAUUGUCUAUGUUAUAGUGAAGAAGCUCCUAGCAGAAUCCUGAUAUAACCGCGAUAGUCAACAGAUGUUUCUUCUGUUGCAUUCAUCCGUUGCUUGUGUUGCAUUUAGUAGAGCCUUCAGUUGCCAAAUCAAAGAAUGUUGGCCAGAAGAUUGAGGGCGUUGAUGUCUAAAUCAAGUGGUGUAACUCCUAAUGAGAUUGACUCAGAGCUUAAUUGCUAUUGUGUUCUUUGAUCACCAAUUCUCAUCACAAAAACAAAGUAGGAAUUGGUUUUAUGGUUGUAAUAAGUUGUGGAUUGAUCUGAAUACACCAGAUUGAGCUAAGGACAUGAUAAUCAACAUCCUUGAAAUGAACCAAGCAUUGUGCAAAUCCAGCCAAUCAAGGCACGAGGAGGUUAAUGUGAGCUAACUUCAACUGAAAUCAAGGCUCAAAGGGCCAAGUAUAGACAUUAAAAGGAGCAAUUGCAUGAGUAAAGAAAAAAAAUGAUAAUAUCAAUGGUCAUUUGUUCUAUUAAGGUGUUGUGUCAUUGUGCUGGUUGUGUCUAACACGAGAGUUGGUGGGAAGUUUCUAAGCCUUCCAUAGUUUAUUUAGGUGUGAGUGUGUGCAUCUGUGUCAGGUUGAACUACUGGAAGUCCUGCUUCCCUCGUCUUCAGUACGCUUGUUCCGGCUUCAUGCUUCGGACUUGCUUUACCACUGAAAACUAGAUAUUCUCAUGGAAAGCUGUUGGCUCUUUGGCAAUAUGACAGAAGCUUUCGUCGUUCUUACCAUUCUUACUAAAGAACUUCUAAUACCUUUUCAUUCUGUUACGAAAAAUCUAGUGAACUUAACAGCUUUGGCCUCUUGUAUAGUCUAAUAUAUCACCAGAUGUAAUGGCACAUGCUAAUCUUGAUUCUAGAAGAGGCGCCUGUGAAGCGAGACAAUGAAAUGCCAACCCCCUCGAGCGGAAAACAUUCCAACAUAAACAGUGAUUUAAAAUUUGACCCUGAAUGGUCAGGGCAGGACGAAUGAAAUGAAGUCUCAUUGUUUUCUUUUUCUUAACCCAACGGUUUAUCAGAGGUCUAAAUACUUGUGUACUUCCACACUAAAGACACUUAAAUACGUGAUUUUCAACAAUACUUCCACAUCUCUGCAUAUUUGCAGACCUGUAGGGAAUACUCGUUCUCGUGCUGAAUAUGUUAGUUUUUUUUCUCUUAUUGAAAUCAUCGAACAGGUGCAUAUGUACAGCUUGGGACUCCACUUUGCUUUUGUUAGGUCCCUUCGCUCGGAUUCGUGGUCAUCGGUUUCACAGCACUUUUGGGCGUGUCAGACACAGGCCCUCAUCCACAUUAGAAAGCAAUUUCCAUAAUGCUAUGCCAUUUUGUAGGAUUAACUCCAUGUAUCGAGUCACAUAGGCAAGCCACCUUUAGGCUUUUUAGGUAGGUCCACGAUAUAUUUUGCCAGCCUCGUCGAUCAGAAUGCCGAAAUCUUGGGUGAUUGAUUUGGAUAUAAAAGCAUUCCUACUUGAAUGUCAAGUCUUCUAGAAGUCCAUGAUAUGUAGAGCAUCCCAUGAAUCAAAUAAGAUGCAAAUUCAAAAUCUCAAAAAUUCGUUCAACUAUAAAUUUUUUCACACAGGAUGAUACAAAUGACUGAAUAACCAAAAACGACAUGACUUUCAAGCUCAGCAGCCUCAAAGCAUUCUAAUUAUAAAUUAGACAUACAGAAACCACUAAAAAUUUGAGAGUAACCCUUUUUCUCAGAAUCAAUUUCUCUCAACACAGACACGAAUUCCGUCCAAUAGAAAAAAGCCACACCAGCUGCCAAUGCAAUAACCAAAAGCAAAUCAUAAUGAAAGAACUAGAUGUACCUGGACACGAGUAGUGGCGUCCUGACCAGACACGAUGCCGUGCCUCAUCUGCUUCACCAUUGCCUGUCUCUUGUUCCUCAGCAGAUUUAUACUCACCACUGUCAUCUUCGCUGCCGUUUUGCUGUUCAUUCCCAAAACAAAAUAACAAAAAACUCUCCAUGAAUAUAACUACAAAAAGCCCUCACCUAUUAUUUGCUAUUUACCAGAACAUAGAAAAGUAAACGCCCCCAAAGUAAACCAAUUUCAUGUGGGGAUUUUAUGUUGCAUACCUUGUGAAUAGUGGCCAAGCGUUUGGUCUCUUCCUUGAUCUGACCCAGGUGAGAGAGGAUGCAGUCGCAGAUCUCCAUCUUCUUCCUCUUGAUCCCCUCCUCCUUGGCCCUGAAAGUGGACGGAGCAGCCCUCGACAUCUCCUUGUCCUCCCUCAACAGCGACGUGUUGCUGCUGAAGCUCAAGUUCCCCGACGAGCCCUGCAGGAUCAGCAGCAGCUGUUGCUGCCGCUGCCGCUGGGCCUGUUGCAAGGCCUGCUGCUCGUGCACCUGCAUCAAGAUCUUCUUCUUCUUCUCUCUGAUCUUCAAGCAACAGAAACCCCUGUGACCUCUGAUAAACCAAGUGUAUAAACUUCAGUACCGUCCCCACUGAUAAACCAAGAAUAUUCCACCAUCUUUGCUGUCUAAUACUAAUAAACCAAGUAUUUGAACUUCAGGACAGUCUGCACCAAAUGCAACCAAACCAAGUGUUCAAACUUCAGGCAUAUGGCUAGCCUACCGAUGGAAAUUUACCUCAAAUGGAGCCAGGAGUUCCUCCAUCUUCCCUGGUACGCACAUUUGUUCUUGUGCGCUGCUCUCUGCAUGCGAAACCAAUGAUGGGUGCCAAAACAUCGACGGGUCUGUUAAUGCAGCCGGCACACUCUCUUCCUCCUGCAAAAACAGGGGACAUUAACAAACCCAGGGCAUUGUAUUUCGCCAUUUUUGUGGCCUCACCAGAGGAGGGAUGCCUAAUUACCACAUGUUGGUCCUACUCAAAUUCGAUUUGACAAAGAAAUGAGUACACCAAUUUUAAGAUUCACAAACAAACGUAUUUUAUCCAGGUUUUUGUUUAAUUGCCUGAAGGGCUCCAAGCAACAAAUUUGGCAACAUGAAAGAAGAAAAAAGAAUACCGUCUUCCCUAAGUCGCCAUCUAAUGUUGAUUACUGUAACACUGCAAACAUGCUUUUUAACCCAUAGCAUGAAUGGUGCUGUGCCAGUAAAAGCUUCAGCACCUCAGAUCAGACUGUCCUUGAAAAUUGGCACUCCAAAAAUAGAUAGCACCUUGGAUCAUCAAAUCAUGUAGACCAGUUCAAGCUCUAAAUUGAAAAUAUCCCAAAUACAAUAUUAAAGAAAUCGCACAUUCAUUGGAUAUUCUGGAGAUUCUAAGUGAACAAAUAGCACUUGUAAGUAAAGAUGACACCUUUAUUUUGACUCCACAGGCCAAAAGAUGGAUUCAUAAUAAUUUGGAAUUGAGUUUACAGGAAAUUUCCAUGGGCGUUAUGCAUGAUAUUCAAGCCAAAUCCCCAAUCCUUUUAGCAUGUUUCCGAAGCAGAGAACCGCGAAAUUGAGCAUUAAAUAUAGUUGCUCCCACCUUAAUCAACCGAAACAAAAGCAUGCGAACAAUCUGUGUCCUUUUUCUGUUUUGCUUUGGACGAUCCUAUCUCUUAUUUUGCUAAGAUUAGUAAGAUCGCAACAACAUCCUGCGUUUGGGCAUAUACCCAUUGACAUCAUUCCCAAACUUCAGACCUAUUCAAUCCACAAGAGAAAACAACUCAAAUGAGUUCCCAUACCUCCUUCGGAAUGAAAGCAGAGUACAAGAAAGGAGAUUAAGCCGCCCGGCUUUGGACGAAGAGGACCCGACGUCGCCGUCGGCCUCAUCGAGCUCUUGCGCAAGGACUCGAUGUCGUCGCGCUCGAACGAAGAUGAAAUUUGGGGAUUCGGCGAAGAAGAAAAAGGACACUCAGAUGAAGAAGAGGAGGAUCGAUGAAUGAGAAGCGGACUCCAUGAACAAGAAGUACACUAUGGACGAGAAAGACUGAUGAAGAUGUGACGAGAACUUGAGAAGAAUACUCAAUCAUUGCGUUUGAAGGCUCGAAGCUCUAUGCCACGUAGGAGUGUGAAAAGAAUAAACAAAAAUUUUCAUUUAACUAAUUGAACAAAAUUAAUAAAAUGACUCGAUUAUACUAAAUUAACAAGUUUUAUUACUCGAUUGUAAUUUUUUGUAAGCUUUAGGACUUCUAAUAUAUUUAUCUCUUUAAUGUUCUAUCUACACUGUAAAUAUUGCAAAUCAUUAAAGUCAUUGUCAUAAUGAUUGGUAUUAAGGAAGAAAUGAAGAAAAAAAAAGUGCAGUAUAUUACGUAGAAAAAACGCUAAGUAAAACCAAUUGUUUCUUAUAAAAUGAGAGAAAAUUUUAAAUAAUAGGCUAUAAGCUAUUAUAUAUAUCCUAUAAAAUGAAGUUUUUCCGAAUAUUUGUGAUAAAAUCUGAACCUCUUACUGCAACUAUGUAACUUUCUCAUAUACAGAAAAAAGGAAAAGCUAGAAAAACGCAGAGAGAGAAAACAUCACAUGCGUUAACUGGUUUUUAAAGUAAGUGAGACCGAGACUUAUUGUAUGAUUGUUUCUUUUUUUAUUUUCCACAAUUAUUAUAAAUCUCCUUAUAGUUGAAUUUAUGUUUGUGGAUGGUCUUGCUGACUUACCUUAUAUUGCUUGAAAUUUUGGACAGAGCCUUCGAAUCCUUGCUUAAGCCCAAGUAAUUUCGGGCAACCGGCAAUACUUAAGUAGCAAUCAUUUGGCAAUUCAGUGGUCGAUACAUUUUCCAACAAUGGGCAGUCAUUAAGGUAUAAGAACUUGAAAAACUCCAACUUGUCGAGGCCCUCGACAAUUCGUAGGUUAGGGUUGUACUCUAUGCACAAGCGCUCAAGGUUCUUUAAUUCUGACAAACCACCAAGACUUUGUAAAUGAUUACCAUAAACUGUCAAGUCUUGCAACGAUUCUGACGUACCAACAACUUGAAUACCGAGUAUCUUAUCGCAAAACCCUAUGCACAGUCCCCACAACUUAUUGAAGACUCUUGAUGCAAGGACUAGUGAAGAUUCAUGGGAAGAUUUCCAAUGUCUGUCAACGUACACGAACCUUCUGAAGGACUCACAUUCACUGAUAUCCAAAUUGCGCAACGAUUCCAGCACCCCAGCGAUGUGGAUCUCAUCUAAUUUUGGGCAGCACGCCACGUUGACCUCUUCUAGCUUCGUCAUGCUAGAUAGCAUGAAUCUCUCGAGGGAUCCACAGCAAAAAAUUAGAAGCUCCAUUAAAUUUGGAAGCUAAAGCCCAUCGAGUAUUAUCUCUUGUAUUUGAGAGCGAUAGAGCCUUAAAUUUGACAAAUUCUCUAAGUGGGAGGAGAGAAACGUGGUUGAAUUAAUAUUAUCAAGGGUUAGCUUUAAUAGAGAAGAGGGAAGUUGCUUGAGGGGUUGCAAGUUCAAUCCACACAAACGGAGUUUGUCAAGCCGAGUAAGAGAAGCCAACUCAGUGGGAGCAGGGGCAUGGAGGAGACACAAGCUUAAUUUUUUUAGUUUGGAUAACCCCCUGAUCCACUCUAAAUCACCAGUAUAAGUUUUAUCUUGUUCGUCAAUUUUGGAGCCGUCACUUAGUUUCAACCUAACUAAAUUAGUCAAGUUUGAAAGGUCCGGCAACUCUCGAAUUUCAUCAAACCCUUCUAACUCUAGUAUUUGAAGCCGCAGAAGCAAGCCAAUUUCAGAAGGGAGUUGACUUUUCAAAUUUCCUUCAACUUGAAGCGCUUUCAGAUUCUCAAACUUUCCAAACUCCAUUGGAAGUGCAAUUGAAAGCUGCAACUCCCGUAAUGAUUUCCACUUAAAUAUGAAAUCCGGUAAUUCCUUCAUUGGACGACAAGAUUGUAAAGAGAAGUGCUCUAGAUUCCGUAGGUCCCCAAUUUUUUCAGGCAAACCUUCAAGGCGAUUGCAAAGAUCAAACUUUAAAUCUUUUAGAUACUUUAACUUCCCAAUAGAGCCAUCAAUCUUCGUUAAGCCGUCGCAAGCCAAAAAAGUCAGCCUCUCUAAUUUUGAGCAUUCAGAUAGGUCUGGUGUUCUGGUUAUGCCAUGACAAUUACCAAGACUAAGAACUUUCAAUUUUAUUGCCCCCUGUAAAAAGUGAAUGCAUUAUCUAAUGGAAGAGCAGUUCAAACGUUCAUUUAAGGACAAAGAAAGGAAAUAAGCAUAUGACGCACCUCUAUUAACUGCAAUAAUUUCUGAUCGUCUAUACUGGGAAUGCUUGAAAAUUCAAGGACAACCACAUUCUUUAAGCACAUAUUGGUCAGCUCCCACUGUAAAGAUGAAGAAUGACACAAAUAAAUCCAUUUUAGUUUGGGAAAACAAUUUAUUAGAUUAAGGAACCUUAGUUCUUUAAACCUUCCAAUCUCUUCACUUUUGAUACUUGUGUGAGUUACUUCCAUCGCUUGAACUUUCUUCAUCUGCAAAUGAGAACAAGAAAGGAGUAGCAUUCAGCAUUCCAUUUUAUUGAGGAAAAGUAUUAAAACCAAGAAGCAAAAAGAGAAUCUAUAAGUUCUCUCGUUAAGUAUCCCACCUCUUUUGUCGCCAUUGUAGUGAGGACUUCAUCAUCAAUCCAUAACCUACUAGGCCCUUCAGGAUUCGUUCGAUAUUCUUGACGAACAAUUUCCCUUCCAAGAUCUCGAAGUUGAUCGUGCAUCAAAAACUCAUUGUCAUUUCCAAUCUUUAUCAAGGACUUGUUUUUGAGGAUCUCAAUUCCACAGAUUGAGGAAAAACCACAAUCUGUCCACAUAUAAAUUGGGUUUGUCAUUAUAUCACCAAUGAAAAAGCAUGCAAUAUCCAGAAAAAUUUGUUGCUGCCCAGGAGUCAAUGCAUUAUAGCUAAUCCUCAACUUUUCGAAAACACCCUCUGGAGGUGCUUUGCGUAAAUCGUCCAAUGUUUCUUUCCAUAGGUCUUGUGUUCCAUGGGUCACAAGUGAACCAAUUACUGCAAUAGUCAAAGGAAGGCUUCCAGUAGCCGAUACAAUUUCCUUUGAAAUAUCAUCGCGAUCAUCUGGAGGAGAGUCCUUGUUAAAUGCAUGUCUGCUGAAGAGCUGAAGCGCAUGAUCACUACUCAUCACCUUCAUUUCAUAAGGUAAUAUACUGCACUUCAGUUGAGAGCCUUGCAAAACAUUCUUGUUUCUAGUAGUAAUCAGUACUCUAGACCCUGAACAAAAAUCACCUUUUCCAACUAAUUUCUCCCCUUGUUCAUCGUUAUCAACAUCAUCCAGCACAAUGAGGACCUUCUUAUUGUGAAGUCUUCCUUUGAUCAUCUCCAUUAGACGUUCAGUUUCGUCAAUACUUCCUAUUCCUGCGGCAUUUCCUAUUUCAGACAAUAAUUUCUUUUGCAAUUUAACCAAACCAUCAGCUCUUGACGAAUUUUCUCGAACAUUUUCAAGGAAGCAGCAACACUUUCCAAAGUGGGUCAAAAGUUCAUUGAACACGACCUUGGCGAGAGUCGUUUUACCGAUACCCCCCAUGCCAUGAAUUUGAAUGAGCCGCACACCUCCAGAGUGUAUGUCUAACAGAUUUAUUACUUCUAUCACUCGAUCAUUGAUUCCAAUUAAAUGUUCAGUCACGGACUUUUGCUUUAUCUUCAACUUAACCACAACCUCCUCAACGACCAACUUGAUUAGUUUGGCCCAGCUGUCAUGAAGGAAAACCAUUUCAAUAGCAGAAAAUUGCGAAAAAAAAGAAAAAGAAAAGAAAAACAAUCUAGUAAUUAAAUUUCAUUCAUAAUACAAUUCCACUGGAGUUCAAAAGAAUCUUAAAUUUUUCAUUUGUUUCCUACCAGUUGAUGUUACUCAAUUGCAUCUACUUAACUGCACAAUAAUUCCAUAACUAAUGGGACAUCAACAAUCAAGAUGUGCCUUCUCAAAUUUCGUAUUGAAUGUAAGGUUUCUUAGCUAUCGCUUUCGAUAACCUAACAUUUGUCAUUUGAUAUGUUGCGCAAACCUUACGUGUACUUGAUCUUGUAAAGUUCCCAAAUAACACCAAGCAUGCAUAACACAAACAUUUGACGAGAUAGAUGGAAUCGAUCCCGAAGGACUUCGGAUUUGAUUUUUCUAGCUAAUACUAUAACCAUAAAAAAUAUGAAUCUACAUCACUUUCAAACGUGCUUCUCAUGCACAUUGCUAGGUGCCACGUGUCGCAUUGUCUCUUGACACCUGAAAAAUGACUUGAUCCCAACGUGAUUAGCAAUUUUCGAAUUCUGUUAAUCUUGUUUGUGCAAGAUAAAUGUACAACUAUUUAUGCAUCAUGAAUUAGCAUCUUAUCAGUUAUAUUCAUAGGACAACCUUAGAAGUGGGAUAUUAUAUGUUCAGGAGGAGAAAUAUCUGAUGUAUCGAUUGAAAGAUCAAAUUAUUAGACAGAACAUGCAUGAUACUCAAUUAUUCCACUUCAUCACCCAUUAUAUAAAAUGCCUUUAUUCCAGCAGUUCCACAUUUUUUUUACACACAUACCGUUUAGUAUCACUAGGGGAAGUUCCACCUGAUUUGUGGUGAUAUAUCUACGUUAUUAAGUUUUGAGUAAAAGUUCUAGAAGCAUUAGAAUUUCACCAAGAGUUGCUUACUAAAUGACAGAGGUGAAAAAUGAAACAAAAUUUAUAUAGACCAUCAACGAAAGGAAAAAAAUGAGCUUUCGUUUCUAUUUUCAGUUCUUCAUUAAAAAAAGACAUAUGAUAGCACUUCUAGUGAAAUCAAGAACACUAACAAUUUUAGUAGCUCUAGCAUGAAUUUUUAUGUUUCUUGAAUUCUCUCCUCCUACCCACAUAUAAUAUGUUCCUUCUAUCUGUGAAUUAUUUACUUAGUUUUUGCAAACAGGAAAAAAUAUUAGGGAAAAAGAAGGAUCUUGGAAUGCAGCAAGCUCACCUAUCACAUUUCUUGACUUCCCAUCCCUUUAUUGCAUCAACCUCCGUCAAAGCCUUCCUCCAGGAAUCUACUUCUUCAAUGCUCAAGUUAUCCUCGCCCUGCAAAAUGAGAAUGGCAUCGCAAUAUAACUGGGUUUUCAUCUUAACAUCUUUGGGUUCCACAUCGAAGAAAAUAGGUAGGAUCUCUUUAUUCCCGUUUGACUUGGAGGUGUUCUCCAUAAUCUGCGUGAGUUCACGGAGACACCAUUUGCUCGAAGCAUAAGUUGGAGAGAAGAUGGGGAUGUAGAUCCUAGAGUUGUCGAUCGCUCUCUGGAGCGCUCCGUUGAUUCUUUCACCAACAUGGAGGUUUUCACUGUCUCGAAAGACGUGGAUACCAGUAUCAGCCAAGCUGUGGUAGAGGAAGUCGGUAAAAUUAUUACGAGUGUCGGGUCCUCUGAAGUUCAAGAACACUUGAUGCUCGCAUUCUGAUGAUGCUUCUGCCUCUGAGCUCUCCAUGUUAACUUUAGCUUUAGUAGCUCUCUUCCCUCGUAUGUGAACAAGAGAAGCCUUUGCCCUUGGCUGACUGAAGGUUUCAACCACGAACAUAUGGCGUGAAUAUAUCAGAGUGAGAUUACCAACAUAUAAAUUCAGUUACAGAAUAACAACAAAACUAAAGUCAAGUAUUUAGAUAACCGUGUUAUAUUCAAACUCUCAAUGAUUCAUAUCAUUGUAAGUCAACGUUAGAAAUGCUAUAUAGCAUUGCUUUUGCCAACUACUUUUCUCCAACUCACGAAAUUCUAGGAANNNNNNNNNNNNNNNNNNNNNNNNNNNNNNNNNNNNNNNNNNNNNNNNNNNNNNNNNNNNNNNNNNNNNNNNNNNNNNNNNNNNNNNNNNNNNNNNNNNNUUUGAUAGGUGUGUUAUAUGCAUUUUCUAAGCAAGGAAUAUACCUUCUUCAAUCUUGCCAAUUUUAAAAACACCACUAUGCACCCAAAAAAAAAAAAAUCUUAAAAACACUAUUCAAAUAUUUUAAAAGAUUGUGAAACAUUAUACGUGAAUUUAGGAAACUGGAAAAGACCAACAAUCAACGAACUCGCUCCGCAAGACUUAAGAAAACCAAAAACUCAAAGAGUAAAAAUUAGAAGUCAAUUCAAACAUAUAUAAAAAAAAAA
rnacentral:lncRNA from 1 species